UUCUUCACUUUCCUUUCCAUGUUUUCUUUUCCUUUCUUCUCCAAACUUCUUGAGCACUAAAUUUACAGCCUUUAACCCCAAUUUCUAGCACAUCUAAACCCUAGGAGGAGAAGAAAGAAAAAGAGAGAAAGGAGGAAAAAGCUUGGUUUUGGUGAUUCAAGCAAGGAACGGUAAGAAUUCUUGUUUUUGGCUUGAGUAGUCUUUGAAAAUGAGUUAGUGACUUAGAGAAAUGUCUUGUGGCAGUAAAGAUUGGCUUGAUUGGAGAAAAAUUGGUAACAUGUAAGCCAAGAAACCCAUGGGUACAUGAAGGACUCAAAGUGGAAAAGGAAAAUGGUAAGCUUAACACUAUGUUUUAAAGCCUACGGUUAGUUGAAUAUUGUGAGGAAUUACGAUUGUUGAAAGGAUCUAUUUGCCUAAGUUAGUUGAAAAUUAUUAAGAUUGUAUGGCAUGUUGUUUGAAAGAAAUCAAAAAAGGAAUAUUGUGGAUGGACGAUUGAGAAACAAAGUAUUGAAAGUUAGAUAGAUAACGAUGUGUGUAAACUAGGAAAUAAUCGAGUGAAAGUGAGAAUGAUUGUUGCUGCCAUAUAUGUGGAUUAUGUGUGGAAAUAUAAGACGGAUUUGAGUGGAAAUUAUUUAGAAAGGUUGAAGUAGACACGCGACAUCAUAAUUAAGUUACCGGUGAUAUAAUUUAAGGAAUUACGUAAGCAAUGGAUAUAAGUAAUGUUAGUAAAAAGUGUAUUAAGAUGUGAGUUAAUUGAAAAUGGUUUCAUGAUAGGAUGAAAAAUAUAAAUUUGAGUAAGGAUUAAUUGAUUAAAGUGUUGCCUGUAUAUGUAUAUAAUUAAAUAUAUUGAGUUCAUAUUAUUGUUGGGAAGUGCAAAGAAAAGGUUAGAGUACUGUGGUGGCGUGCCAGAGUAAACAUCGAGCGACCGACCAGUGAAAAUAAUCAAAGACACCUCUGAUCAAAUGACGAUGUAAUAUCUCGCUAUCAUAUGGUGAGUGCACUUGCAUUUCAAAAUCGUUUUGGGAGACAUAAUUGUAUUGGUAUGAAAUAUUGAAUGAUUUAUUCCAACUUGUCUUUAAAAACGUGUGCCUUGGGAACAAGCCUUUGAUAAAAUAUUUUUAUGUUGCGAAAAUGUGAAAUGUGUAAUAGGACGGACUUAUGUGCUCUCAUACUGUGUUGAUAUAUAUAUAUAUGUGUGUGUGUGUAUACGAACAAUGUUGUGUAAUGAUAUUGACCUGACUAUGUGCGAGGGGGAGUGCGCAUAAGCCGAUGCUGACCCAGCAAUGUGCUAGGGGGAGUGCCAUAAGUCGAUGCUGAUUCGGCUAUGUGUGAGUAGGAGUGCACAUAAGCCGAUGCUGACCCAGCCAUGUGCUAGUGGGAGUGCAUAUGAGUUGAUGAUGAUGGGAGGGUGUGUAUGGUGAUGGAUAUACAUGUAUACAUGUAUACAUGUAUAUGUAUGUAUACAUACAUAUACAUAUAUAUGUGUAUAUAUACAUAUAUAUGUAUACAUACAUAUAUAUGUAUACAUACAUAUAUAUGUAUACAUACAUAUAUAUGUAUACAUACAUAUAUAUGUAUACAUACAUAUAUAUGUAUACAUACAUAUACAUAUAUAUGUGUAUAUAUACAUAUAUAUGUAUACAUACAUAUACAUAUAUAUGUGUAUGUAUGUAUACAUAUAUAUGUAUAUGUGUAUAUAUACAUGUAUACAUAUAUAUGUAUAUGUGUAUAUAUACAUGUAUACAUGUAUAUGUGUAUAUGUACAUGUAUACAUGUAUAUAUAUAUGUAUAUAUGUAUAUAUGUAUACAUAUAUAUAUAUGUGUGUGUGUGUUAUAGAAAGUUCAUGAGUAUGGUAUAUGGUGUUGCACAUGUGAAUCUUGCAUGUUGAACUUUGGGAAUUAUUAUGCGUUUCAUGUUGAUUUUUUUUGUCAUUUUAGCAGGAUGGCUUUUCUAGAAAAAAAAAGGAAACUUUUUCAUGGUGCUCUGUUUCUCGCUGCAGUGAGAAACUCUCAGAUUUGGAGGGAUAAUGCUGGUCGAAAUCUCGCAGCAGAGAGAAUGCCUUUCCGCUGCAACGAGGACCUGUCGUUUACUUGACUUGAAUUGCACGAAUGCUAUUAAAGUUUUCACUCUUCAAAUCCUUUGUUGAGCAUGGACCCUUUUUGUCAAGUAAUUUACUCAUUUGGGGUUUACAUGAGAGGUUUUGAUAAGAGCUAAACUAAAUUGCAUUAUUUUCAAAGAUGUGUAUCAUGAUUUCUAAACCUUCCUUAACGUUGCUUGUUCCCCUCCUAUGUUCACUCAUUGAGUUUGUACUCACAUUUUUUUUUUAAAUUUAUGUUUUAGGUUUUCUAAGUUAAAGGAAAUUGGAUCCUAAGACGAGGUGCUCCUCCCUAUACAUUGCUCGGUAGGUUUAACAUGCCACUAAGUGUUAUCAAUCGUGACCAGAGUCACUCCACUGACGGUCGAGGUCUAAUUAUGUGUAUAUGGAUAUUUGAUGUGAAACAUUAAGGUUCAUUUGUUAUUCUAUAUAUGUAUAUAAUGGUUGAUGAUGCCAUUAUGAAUGCAUGACUGGGCUUUAUUAAUUGUUUUCAAAGGAAUUGUAAUUUAGUGUUACAAUUUUCGAUUCUAAAGGAAUAUAGAUUAAUGUAUAAAAUCAUGUAAGUAGACUUGCUUGGACUUGAUGGGCUGAGCCCAUUGGGCCCUUAGGCCGGUCAUGGCUCAAAAAUUGGGCUAUGACAAUUCGUAUGCUGGCCUGAUGGUUGGCUAGGUUGGACUCGCUUGCCAUGUCAUUCUCCACUACUUGAUUUUGACAACACCCUCAUUGCCUAACGCAACGCCUCAAAUGUUUCUUGGAACUACUGGUUCCUAACUAACUUUUACUUCUGACAUUCUUUUCCACUUUACAAAGUAUUGGUGUUACGGCAUGUAGUUUUGGUGCUUUACACCUUGUUGGUAAGAAUGAUAUCGACCUCCUUCUUAUAUGUUGAACGUACACCCACUAAUGCCUUUAACUAUCUCUACAACUUGGAUCUUCCUUGUUAGCAUGAUAUGGCUUCAACAUACUUACAUGAAAGACUAGAUGAACUUUCGGCUUGGGUAGCAUAUCAACUUUGUAUGCCACUUGACCAAUUCGUUUGGUCACUCCGUAAGGCCCCUCGUAAUGCUUCAAUAGUCCUUUCUAGCUAUUUUUAAGUACUACGUGAAGUUUGACUAGUACUAAGUCUCCUAUCUCAAAACCUACCUCCUUUGUAGAUUGAUCAGCCCACUUCUUCAUGCAUUUUGUGACCUUGCAUAAACAUGCACGAGGAAGAUCGAGUUACUUUUUCCAUUCACGUGCAUGCUUGCAUGUUAUGAGUGAUUCUUUUGUGUACUCGACAACUAUAUGGCUCCACGUCAGAAGCUGUUGUUCUGUUGCUAACUUGAACAAACAUUUCCCUAUUUCCUCAUGGUAAAUCUACUUUAUAAAGUUAUUUUGUCACAUUUUGAGCUUAAAAAUACCUAAAUCCUUGAGUUUAGAGUUAGAAUUGUUAUGUUUUAGUUGUACUUUUAAGUUUUAUUUUAAUUGUUUUAAGUAUAUUUUAUGUUGAUUAAGUCACUUUCUUAAGAAUAGUAACUUGUUUUUGGUUGUUCUUGAGGGUACUUGAUUGAAUGGUAUCAAAACAGAGAAGCAAACUAAAUACUAUAUACAAGUUAGCAAGGUUGGUGUAGUGGCCACAUAAAAGUUUGCAUUACGAUGCCAAAGAGAGAGAAGGCACCAUACUAAAGGCAACAAGUUUAGCGUUACAAUGCUAAAGAAGUGAGGCUACAGCACCAAGGAGAAAAGGUGCAUCAUAUUUUAACUUGAGAAAUUGAGGCUGUAGCACCACAAAAUCGAGGACACGAUGCCAUGCCAAUAUCUCAAACAUUAUGUUUUUCAAACUUUACAUGAAGUAGGGUUUUUGAAGGCUAUUUAAAGGCACAUUUGUAGCAAUUAAAAGGCACGUUUUAACAAAGGGUUCUUUGGAGAAAAAGUGGCCGUCAAGCACUCAAGAAAGCAAAAAAAACUUAGGAAGAUUGAAGAUCAAAAACUUGACAAACCUUAGUUUUCUUUUCUUCUCUAUUUCUUCUUUGAUUUUCUUAUAUUUUUAUUGAUGGUUACACUUCUUUCGAUUGUGUUUUUAUUAUUCAACAUGAACUAAAUUUCUUUAUCUAGGAUUGUAAUCGAACCCAACAUGUAGUUUGCUUUUUUAAUAUUUUCUCUUACCAAUGAUUAAUGGUAUUUAAGUUGUUUAUUUCAAUCAUGUCAUUAACGCAUUUGAUUGAUUGGCCACCAAUUAGAUUGACAAGGUAAUCUAAAUGCAACUUGGAAAAGGGAGUUUGAAGUAAGCCAUGGAUGAAAUAGUAUAUGUUAAAAUUUAAUUAGUUACUUGAUUGAUUUGUUACUUGUGUAAAAUAGGAAUAUACUUACAUGUCAUAUACAACCAAAACUAGAGUCUAAGCCUAAUGAGUCUUUCUUUAAUUUAAUAUGCAUAAGAAUAUAAUGAAUUGGUUGACAAAGAUAUUUUUAUAAGCAAUUUUGAAGAUACUUAUAAAUAAAUUAGAACUCUAGGUUAGCAACUCAGUCCAUUUAAGUAAGUUUAGAGAGAGUAGAAGAGAUUCAAAUAAAGUGUUGAAAGGAUAUUGUAAUCCUAGGCUCUUUUUUAUUGAUUUAUCUAUUUUAAAUUAGUGUUCUUGUUAUUAGUUUAAUUUCCUUUGUGAUUCAGUAGUUUUAAUUUACUUAUUUGAAUAAGAUUAAAUUGUUAUAAUUUAGUAGUUAGCAAAAUUUUGGUAGUAAUUCCUUAAGGGAAUGAUACUUUACUUUUUAUUAUACUACUUUUUAACGACAUGUGCACUUGCAUGAUAAAAUUCAACAACACCUCACUACGAUGUAACUUUGUGAGAAAAUUGAGCAAUGUCCAAUCAUUUUUGCCAAUUGGUUUUGGUGGCUCGUAUGAAAUGUUACAAGUAAGUCUCCAGCAACACAUUGACCUUCUUGGUUUGUCCAUCUAAUUGCGGAUGAAAAUUGGUUAAAAAGUUGAGUUGUGACCCCAUCAUCUUCAAUAACUCAACCAAAAUUUACUUGAGAAGCAUGCAUCUUUGUUACUCACUAUAUUUAAUGAAACUCCCCAAUACUUGGGAAUAUUAGUCUUGAAAAGCUUUGUGGUUUCUGUUGCUAGACAUUUUCGACUUGCAGCGAUGAGUGUUGCAUAUUUAGAGAAAUUAUCAACAAUGACCAUGAUGCAUCCUAGUCUAUUCACCUUAGGUACCCCCAUGAUAAAAUCCAUGCUCAAACUCUCCCACAGUCGAUUUGGAAUUGGCAGUGGUUAUAGGAACCUUGUGGCCUUCCUCUAUUCGGAUUUAUCUUGCUGGUGAAAAAGACAUUUCGUACAUAUGUCUCCAUGCCCUUACAUAACUGUGACCAAUAAUACCCUUUGUUCUAUUAGUGCCAACAUACGGUGCAUUCUAGGAUGCCUCGCCCAAGUUGAGUCUUGACACUAGCUGAGUAUCUCCCUUUGAAGCUUGCCAUAGGAUGGCUCGUAAAACCUCGGGCCCUUAGUGUAUAGGAGCUUGUCUUGAAACUAAAACCUUCUAGUCCUCCCUUCCUUGGUGUAGUCCAUCAAUGUUUGUGCUACGUGUUGUGCAAUAACCCUUUUCUGAUGUGAAAUACAAGUAUGCCCCAUGCCUCGCUAACCAUCAUUAUUGUGGCCUUACAACUAAGUGCAUCUACCACUGAGUUAGUCAUUUUUGAUCUGUACUCAAGUCGAUAAUCAAAUUUGUUAGACUUGAAAAUGACUUAUGUUUUGAUUUGACAAAAUUAUAUUGAUUAUAGUUGAUCAUAAAGCAUUUGAAAUGUUUAGAUUCAUCACUCUAAUCGCCUAAGGUUUUAGAAAAUCUUUGACAAGUUUUUAUAACAUAAAAAUGAUAAAAAAAGGUUUUAAACAUUGAGUUUUUAGGUAGAGGAAACAAAGAGCAAGCAUUUCAUUUGUCUAUGACUACAACUUUUACAUACUCAUCCCACAUGAACAAUUGGAGAGAGAAUGAUGAGAUGGUUUGGGUUUUGGGUCAACUACAUUUCACCAAACUCAACCCCUAGGCAAAAUGCUUAUGAAAAAUUAAAAGAAGCUAAGAAGGUUGACUUUAGAUAACCUAUACUUGACACUAGAAGGAAGAAAAGAUUUCAAAGAGCUCUUAGAAAUUUGGAGGGUCAACUUUCAUAUUAACAUACUAAAACCCAUAGCAAGGAAAAAAAAAUGAAGGUAGCCUCAGGUUUAGGGUCAUUUUCAACUUUAAAAACUCGACCAUUGAAGGAUAAUUUCUAGAGAUUUCAGAUUGAGGGUUGACUUCACCUCUUUUAUACUUGACCUCAAUGAUGUGGCAGCUCUGCAAUUAAUGCCUCUAGCGGCUAUUUUCAACUCCACUUUAUUUCUAACGGCUACAAUCUUUAAAAUGAAUAUAAGAGAAAGCUUUCCAUUAGUUUUGACAUAAAAAAAGACUUUGAAAAUUGCUUCAACAUUCGAGAAAGGCUUUAACUUUAUGUAUUUCUCUCAACACUUCAUUUAAGUUUUCCUUUUAAAGCAUUCAAAGCCUUUUAUUAAUAUUCUUGAGUUGAUACAGUGAGAGUUAUUGUACCCAUUCUAUUCAAAGCUUAGACACUUAGCUUAUCAGCCUUUUAGAGGCAUUUAUUGUUAUUCUUUCAUUGUAAACACUCUUGUAAAAGUUCUAAUUUAACCUUAAAAAGUUAAUGUGGGUUGUGCCUCCUAUUAAAAGGCAUUGUAAGGCUUGUGCUUGCUCUUGUUAAAAGGCAUUGUGAGGGUUGUGUUAAGCUCAGUAAAAGGCAUUAUAAAGGUUUUGCUUGAUCUUAUUAAAAAGCAUAUUCCAUAGUGGAUUUGAAAUUCCUUGGUGAGUCAGAGGAAUAUAAAAAUACUUGCGUCUUCGCUUUUAUUAUUGUCUUGGCUUUCAUUGCUACAAAUUUAUUUGACGAAUAUCAACUCCUUUGUUUACACUUGAAGUUGUGAAAAUUGUUUCAAGAAAAAUUAAUUUUCACUAGGUUCACAAUGAUUUCUUAAAAAGCCCAAUUCACCCCUUGUUUGUCUUAGAUAUUUUGAGCCUAUCUAACAAAAUUUUUGCAAAGAAAUCUUGCUAGCGUGCUUGUUUCAAACUCAAUUUCUUCUGGUUUUAAAAGUAAGAUAUGGCUACAUUGUCAAUCAUAACCAUGAAAAGUGCUUCAAGAAGAUAAUGCCUCCAUGUAUAAAGACAAUGUACCACGAUAGUCAUCUAUGUUUCCUAGAUUGUGUACUUUUCUCUAUGUCGUUGAGCUUGUGGCUUUCGUAAGCCACUAGAUGUCCCUUUUGCAUCAACAUUUCUCCAAUAGUGAAGCUUAAGGCGUCUAUGUGCACCUUGUACGACUUAGUGUUGUCUAGCAGUGCUAAGACUGGUUUUGCACACAAUGCCUUUUUAAGUUUGUCAAAGGCUUGUUUACUUCAUGUGCUCCACUUUCAAGUAAUACCUUUCUUUAACAUGUCAGUCAGUGGUGUAGUAAUUGAAGAGUAUUGUCUUACAAAUCUUCGAUAGUAGUUUGCAAGAUUCAAAAAUGAAUGUAACACUGUCACCUUUAUGGGUGGAUCCCAUGUGAGUAUGGCUUUGAUUUUGUCUGUAUCCAUCUGAAUAGUUCUACCUCCAACUAUGUGUUCCAAGAAAAGGAUUUCUUGCAUACCAAAUGAACAUUUUUCUUUCUUCACAAACAGCUUAUGUUCUUUUAUUGUUUUUGUUACACGCCUAAUGUGUUCUACAUGCUCCUCUAGUGUCUUCGAGUAGAUAACAAUAUUGUUCAAGUAAACAACCACAACCUUAUCAAGAAAUGGUUGAAGUACCUUGUUCAUUAAAGUGUAGAAUGUUGCUGGUGCAUUGGUUAGGAUGAAUGGCAUGAUUAGGAAUUCGUAUGAUUCAUAGCAUAUCACACAUGCUAUCUUAAGCAAAUAUGUGAAACCCCAAACUUUUAUGUAAUGAUAUGCCUAGACUUAAUAUAAUGUUGAUCAAGAGGGAUGUGAAUGGAUUUUAAUUUGAUAUAAGAUCGGAUGUUGAAUGAAUUUUUUCCAACCUUAUUGACAUGAAUUUCUCCUUAAAAAAAUGGUGAUAAUGAUGUGGUGUUGAUGAAUGAAUAAAUGAUAGGAAGCUGUGAAAUUCCAAUUUUUCAAUAUGGUGGAAAUUUGAUGAAAACUUGAAUUUUGAUGAAUUAUGCAUUAGUUAUAAUUAUCUAUGAGAAUUCUUUGUCAUUUGAUGUAAAUCCUUCCAUAUUAUUGUGUUAUGUUCAUGGAUGAAUGAUGGUAGAAGGAAUUGUUGAAAUUGGAAGCAAAAAGAAUGUAUUUUAGCAUGUUUGAACUCUGAGGACCGAUCCUAUGGUAGAAAGUAUGAAAAUCUUGAAGAAUUCAUAGCCAUAGUCAACCUUAUAACAAAAAGCAUGAGAUUCUUGAAGAAAACAAAACCAUAGUCAACUACAGAAUUUAAGUAAUUGACUAUAGCACCUUCUUGACAGAUUAAUAUCUAAAGUGUUAAAAAACGAGCCUUGGCCUUCAUUUUACAUUUUCUCAACCUCCAACUCAUCCCAACAACCACCAAACCCUCCCCUAACCUUUCAAAACCCCAUUGGACAAAGAUUCAGCCUUCCAAACUCGAGGCGAAGGUAAGAUUUGGCAUUCUUGAGUUUUAAUCACAAUGUUUCAACCUAACUCAAGGGUGUUGGAAAUUUCAGCUCAUUUAAUCCAAAUUUUAGAUAAAAUUUUGGAAGUUUUUGUUCUUCAACAAGGUUGUGGAGGUAAGAAUGAUUAAAGUUUCAUUAUAUAUGAUUUGGGUUUAAAGUAUUGUAGGUUAUUGGCUUGAAACAAAAAAAAAUGGAUUUAAUCAAUUAGUUUCGAAUAAAUAGGAAAUUUAUGUUAGAAAUCGUUGAGUUAGGUUGCGUUGAUGUCGUGAAUCGUAAAAUGGGCGAGGUCUAAUGAAAUAAGGCUUAGAAGUACACUUUUGGAAAAGUGAGUGGAUACACCCUUUUAUGUAUUUUAAUAUGGUAAAUCUAAACAUGUUUUAUGGAGUUUGUUUGACUUGCAUGAUUUGAAUACUAUAUUUACAAAAUUAAAUCAAAUGAUUGUGAUCCAUAUGUUUUCAAAGAGUUUUAGAAUCUAUAUAUGUAUGUAAAUAUCACUCCUAUGUAUUAGUUUUCAACAAGGGGGGACAAGCGGUUUCAAGCGUUUUACUUCAAAAAUUUCAAUUCCGUUAUGAAUAGGAAGUGACAAACGUGUAUGGAUUUAUGGAUGACAAGUGGAUGUAAGUCCCACUUUUAUACUUGAUAAUAAACAUGAUGAUUAAAUAUUUUUGGACAAAUACGAUUCAUGAUAAAUUAGUACCUACAAUGUUGCUAUGGAAAAGCAUAAGAAAUGAAUGCUUAGGUGAAGGUAGACAAUCCCACCUUAAAGCUUAUGAUAUGUUCUUAUUUAAGGAAUACUAGAACAUGUUGUACAUGGUUCAAUGUGAUAGUAUGUGAGGUAAUUCCACAUACCAUAUGAGAUAAGUUUAUUUAAAUAAGCAUGGAUUAUAGAGAGAUGUGUGUGAUAUGUUGAUGAUAUAUGUAUGAGAAUGCGAAAGUCAAUGUUAUGAUGAGAACCUUGAGUUGUGGUUGUAAGGAUGGUGGUAAGAGUCCCGCUUGCAGAUAAUUUCCUAGCAUUUUCACAAUGUGAGGUCAAGUUAAUUUGAUGAUCAAAAGAAAAAGGACAUUGCUUAGUUUUGGUCAGAACGGACUUGAAAACAGUUUUUCGCAUUGACUGAAAUGAAACUAUAAAAUAUUUUGGUUGAAAUAUUAGUGAUCUACAUCUUCUUUAUAUAAAUGGUUGUGCACCACUGAAGAAAAUACCCAAACAGCCAAGCCUCAACUUUCAUUAUCUUCCCUGCUAAAUUCAAAGAUUUUAAGUGCGUGGAAAUGAGCAUUGCGAUGCCUCAGAAAAGGUAAAUUACGAACUCCCACCUAACUUUCUGCACCAUGUUUGAUUUCUGUAGUACCUGUUAGAUUUUAAAGCCCUUUCCUGACUUUUGUUUCAUUUCGGUACUUAAACCCUCUCUUUUUUUCAGAAAAGCUACUUAAGCCCUCUCUUAAUUGUACUCCGAAGUUAAUCAUAUUCUUUAGCUGUGUAAUGCUUGGUUUUGGAACAUACUGAGAACGAAUUUGCAUGUUCUCCAUACUUGGAACGAAUUUUCGAUGAACUGAAAUAGUAUUGGCUAACCGCAAAAAAAUAAAAAAAAAAAAGAAAGGAAAAAGAAAUAGCUUUUCCUGGUUUAAUUUGUUCCUCUUUAUAUAAUUCUGAUCAGUAAACAUCAACCGUCAAAUAUCAGGCUUGAAGACAAGGUGGCAAUUAUCACGGGUGGUGCUAGUGGGAUUGGAGCGAGCGCCGUGCAUGUUUUCCAUGAAAAUGGUGCCAAAGUUGUCAUUGCUGAUAUCAAAGAUAGCCUAGGCCAAGCCAUAGCUGACAAACUGGGGGAAAAUGUUUACUACAUCCACUGCGAUGUAUCAAAUGAAGAUGAUAUCUGCAAUCUCAUUGACACCACCGUCUCCAAAUACGGAAGGCUUGAUAUUAUGUAUAAUAAUGCAGGCAUCAUGGACCACGCAGUCGGAGGGAUUGUGGAUGCCAAAAAAUCAGACCUGGAACGCUUGUUUGGAGUUAACUUAGUCGGUGCUUUCCUUGGAGCCAAACAUGCAGCUAGGGUGAUGAUACCCCAGCGUAGAGGUUGUAUACUAUUUACUACUAGUGUUUGCACUGCAAUUGCAGGACUUUCAACUCAUUCCUAUGCAGCUUCCAAGUACGCAAUUUUGGGGCUAGCUAAGAACUUGACACCUGAUUUGGGGCAAUACGGUGUAAGAGUAAAUUGCAUCUCGCCUUAUGGCGUAGUAACUAGCGUGCCAGGGAUUACUGAAGAUCAGAGAUCGAAAGUGGAACAAAGACUGAGCGAUGUGGGCAAUCUGAAAGGGGAAAUUCUCAAGCCAGAAUGUGUAGCAAGGGCUGCACUAUAUUUGGGUAGUGACGAAGCAAAUUAUGUGAGUGGACUCAAUCUUCUGGUGGAUGGAGGGUUCAGUGUUGUGAAUCCUACCAUGCUGAAGUUUGCAAACCUUGUUUAAUAACAAAGGUAUCAAGUCAUUCGCAUUUGUAAUUUUUCUUCUUUACUGAUGAUGCGAUGGAAGACUUUUAGGAGCUAUAUAUAUAAAUAAAUGAAGGCAUUCAUUGUGGCGUCAGUUGAGUGAUGUAUUAAUAUAUCAUACUUCCGAGAUUUUUAAUACAAUAAGUAAUCAAUUGUGAGUUGCCUGCAUGAAACUCGGUUGCAAUUGUGUUAGUUUUCUUUGGAUGGAGAAAGGAACAUUUUAGAUGCGAAAUUCCAAACUUAUAAUGCACUGCAAAGAAUUUAAUGAAAUUUCAUUUGAAAGGGUAAGCUUGACUUCUAGUAUCCAACCAAACAUAUAUAUGUUAGUCGACAGGCACAUGCUUCCAGCGAAAGUCCCAAAAUGCAUUAAUUUUUUAUUCAAUUCCUCAAAUGUGAAAAACCAUUUUUCAACACUCUGUCCCAAAGAAAUAAAAAUCCUUGACCGUCCGAAACAUUUGGCUUGUACAUUAAUGUACGCAAGAUAUAUAUUAAUUUAAUUAAUUAUAUAUGCAGUGCCAUACACGUAUUAAUGUUCUCAUAUUUACUCUCGCCACUGAUAUCAAUGUCAGCUCUGUAAUCGACAGACAGCUGUUUUCUAACUUAGGCCUAACACGUCCUUUCAAAAAAAGAAAAAACACAUUUAUUUUGUUCAAGGAUAUUCCAAUUGUUAGAGCAUAUAAAAAUUGACAUUUUUUAAACGAAGAAAAACAGAAGAAGAAAAGAAUGAUUACUUCUUCUUACGAGUAUAACCCAAAGCCCAUUGAUUUUCAAUAUAUUUAGAAGGGGAAAGAAAGGCCCCUCAGUCCUUGAUAUCAACUUCCAUUAUAUUUAUAUAUGUAUGUUUAUUUUUUCUGAAAAUAAAUUCAAAUAUAAAUUUAUUUGUCUAAGAUACAAAAUUUAACUUUGUUUUUUUUACAGCGUCACUAAUGAAACAAAAACGAAUUGUAAUGCCCAAUGUUGAUUGCUUGAAAAUUUUUAAGGUAUUAACCUCAUGGUUUCAUGAAAUAUGAACUAUGUUCUUUGUCUAUAUCUAUCUAUAAAUGUAAAGUUAGAUAUUUACACAAUAUAUAAAUGCACAUCAACUACAAACGAUAAAUGUUGAGAUUAAGUUACGUAUUUGGAACUUUAAAAUAAAACAUGAUAGGGAAUUUUGAAAUUAAGACCGUAAUUUGGUGUCAAAUAAAAAUUAUUUUUGAAUAGCUGAUUAAUUUUUAAAUCAAAUAAAUGGAAAGGAGAGUCGGCGAGAAAAACAAUUCAUGUGUUGAUAAUAUUGUAGCCUAUGACGCCCACAACUGCUGCUCUUUUCUACUCAUCAAUCCAUGUGGUUUAGACUUGGUCUAAGGACUGAGGCUAGUGCUGCGUCUUUGGCUCUUUGCUGUGUGUUUUCUAAGUUGACAUCAUUUUUUUCAUCCCUAGUGCAACUGGCAUCGAAGCUCUGCGCUAUUUCUACUAGUUAUGAGAGGGAUGGCAAAAUCUGAACCCUUUCAUGGAUUGCGUGUCAAUACCUCCUUUGGUCCAAUUAAAAAAAAUAUUUAUAAUAAUAAUUACUAUUUUCAAUUAAAAAACUAUUUAUAAUAAUAAUAAUAAUUAUUGUAGUAUCAGUAACUCAGUAAAAGAUAAAACUUUAUAAUAAAUAAAAAUGAGUCACACGUGACUUCCUUUCCCUUUCAGUUUUCGUAAAACUUUAUAAUAAAUAAAAGAAAGAGUCAUGUGACUUCCAUGUGACUUCCUUUCUCUGUCGUUUUUCAUUAGCUUCAAUCUCUGGACUUCAAGUAAAACUAACCAACUUAACAGUAAGUAACUUAGUAAAAGAUAAAACUUUAUAAUAAAUAAAAAAUGAGGCAUGUGACUUCCAUUUGACUUCCUUUCCCCUUCAGUUUUCAUUAGCUUCAGCCUCUGGACUUCAACAAUUUCAGCCCUUCAUCUUAUUAUCAGACUUCAACUCUUUAUAUCUCUAUCUACAACUCAAUGUCUAAUGCUCCCCCUCAAGAUGAGAUCUGUAUAUUAUGCAUAUUCAUCUUGCUAAGUAGUCAAAGGAAAUCCUUUGGUGAUAAAGUCUUGAUGAAAAGAUCUACAAGUUGUGUUUCUGUUGGAACAUAUGCUGGUUCUAUAAUACCUACAAGUAUCUAUUCCUUAACAAAAUGACAAUCUAGCUCAAUGUGUUUCAUGCAUUCAUGAAACACAAGAUUUCUAUUAAUGUAGAUAGUAGAUUGAUUGCCACAAUACAAUCUUACUGAAUGUUUGUGACAAAUUCCAAAAUCUUCCAACAGAGCUUUCAAUCAUAUAAUUUCACAAGAUGUAGUAGCCAUGGCACGAUAUUCAAAGUUAACAGAGCUUUGAGCAAUAAUAGACUACUUUUUAGAUUGCCAACUAACCAUAGGAGUUGAUAUUGGUUUAGUACCCAAUAUAAAAUUGUCACGACCCAAAUUCCGAGCCAUGACCAACGCAUGGGUCCAGUGGACGUAAUCCACUAAACCCAAGCAAGUCUAUUAUUUAUCUUACUCAUAAUUCCAUCUAUUAUCACUAAGUCAUAUUUCAUAACUUUGAAUCAAAAUAGUGAUAUACAUUGCCAACUCGUACUGGCAUUACUCAUUUAAAAUUUACAUUAAGUUCAUUUAUACAUAACAAAAUAAUACUCGACUUCCAGCGGAGGGACUCGGAUGAAUAUACAGCUACCGAAUGCCGAGACACCUACCAAAAGAUGGACACAAGUCUACAAGGACACCUCAUCCUAAUUAUCGGCUGCCUCGUGAUCUGAAAACAUGAAUUUGAAAAUGGUGAGUAUAAACCUAGUGAGUGAAUAAGGAAGGGAACAAGCAACAAUUAGGGAGAAUUUAAAAUCAGGAUGCACUUGUUUCAAAACAAUGUAAUUUAGUUCAUUCCGAUUUAAAACCCUUCCAAACUCGAGAGUUUCUCGCUGCAGCGAAAACAGAGCAAUAAGAGAAACAUUUUUCCUCACUCAAAAAAAAGCCAUCCUGCUAAACUAAUAAAAUCAACAUAAAAUUCAUGAAAAUUCUCAAAGUGCAAUGUGUCAAAUUUCACGUACAUUACAACUAUAAAUCAUUGUCCAUCAAUUUGCUAUAACACACACAUUUACAUAUGUAUAUAUAUAUAUAUANNNNNNNNNNNNNNNNNNNNNNNNNNNNNNNNNNNNNNNNNNNNNNNNNNNNNNNNNNNNNNNNNNNNNNNNNNNNNNNNNNNNNNNNNNNNNNNNNNNNNNNNNNNNNNNNNNNNNNNNNNNNNNNNNNNNNNNNNNNNNNNNNNNNNNNNNNNNNNNNNNNNNNNNNNNNNNNNNNNNNNNNNNNNNNNNNNNNNNNNNNNNNNNNNNNNNNNNNNNNNNNNNNNNNNNNNNNNNNNNNNNNNNNNNNNNNNNNNNNNNNNNNNNNNNNNNNNNNNNNNNNNNNNNNNNNNNNNNNNNNNNNNNNNNNNNNNNNNNNNNNNNNNNNNNNNNNNNNNNNNNNNNNNNNNNNNNNNNNNNNNNNNNNNNNNNNNNNNNNNNNNNNNNNNNNNNNNNNNNNNNNNNNNNNNNNNNNNNNNNNNNNNNNNNNNNNNNNNNNNNNNNNNNNNNNNNNNNNNNNNNNNNNNNNNNNNNNNNNNNNNNNNNNNNNNNNNNNNNNNNNNNNNNNNNNNNNNNNNNNNNNNNNNNNNNNNNNNNNNNNNNNNNNNNNNNNNNNNNNNNNNNNNNNNNNNNNNNNNNNNNNNNNNNNNNNNNNNNNNNNNNNNNNNNNNNNNNNNNNNNNNNNNNNNNNNNNNNNNNNNNNNNNNNNNNNNNNNNNNNNNNNNNNNNNNNNNNNNNNNNNNNNNNNNNNNNNNNNNNNNNNNNNNNNNNNNNNNNNNNNNNNNNNNNNNNNNNNNNNNNNNNNNNNNNNNNNNNNNNNNNNNNNNNNNNNNNNNNNNNNNNNNNNNNNNNNNNNNNNNNNNNNNNNNNNNNNNNNNNNNNNNNNNNUAGAGAAAUUGAAUAUUUCUUUUGUGUUUUUGUUCAUAACCAUGCUUAACUAUCCCUAAACACUAACAUAGUCUAAAAUCAAAUUAUUCCAACAACAAUUCCUCUUCCAUACCCAUUUUUCAGAAUUGAAUUCAUCAUGAUAACUCAAUAUUCAACCAUGAAAAUCAAGAACAAAAGCAUGGGUAAGCUAUGUAUCAAGGAGAAUUAAAGAAAUUUUAACUUACCUAGCUUGUUUCCUUGAUUUCUUUACUUUUUCUUUGAAUUUUCACCUAGGUUUUCUUGUUUUUUCCCUUUGUUCUUCCUUUUUUCUUGUUGCUGGUUGUCUAGGCCGAAUAUGGUGAGAGAAUUGGGGAUUUAAUGGGCUGAUUUUUAUAGAAAAUAAUAAAAUAAUCAAGCAUGCCACGUGUCACAUGCUUAUUGGCCCAAUUUUUAACUUUUUGACUUUUUCUUCUUAAUUUUCCACCACAAUUAUUUUGGUAUUUAUCCAAUCCUACCACAUUUAAAAUCCCUUGGUCUUGACAAGUGCUGGGGCGAAAAAUUUACCGAUUUGCCCCCGAGGUGGAAAACUUACUAUUUUGCCCCUAUACUCCGAAAUGUACCGGAAUCAUAUUAUUUCUACUUUUCAACCUCAAAUAACACUAAUAUUGAUCAAUAUUAACCAAAUGGAGCAAAAAAAUUCCCCGUUUAGUCCUCUAGUGGCAAAAUUAUCAUUUUGCCCUUAUACUCCAAAAAUAUCGAGAAUCACAAUUUUUCACUGCUAAACAUCAUUUUAUACUCCAAUAAUCAUAAUUAUAUUUUAUAUAAUUAUUCUUGGUCAAAUGUCAUCAAAUCUUGGCUAGAAAUCUCCAUUUAAUCAUCAAAUGGUAAAAUGACCGUUUUGUCCCUAAUCGGUCAAUUUUUCUAAUGGACUUCAAACUGGACCUUAAACUCAAAAUCACUAUUCUAAGCCAUUCUGUGGGUUUCAAAAUUUUCAAUUUCCUCUUAGAAUUUUUAUUUGAACUAGUUUAAGGCUUGAUUUAACUUAGUUGUACCACUCGGUACAAUAUCGUCUUUUAAUCGAGUUUGACAGGGUCUCACAAAAAUGCUCCUAAAGCAUAUCCAAAGUAUAUUUAAGUUGACAAAUUGAUAUUCCUUUUGGUGACCUAGCAACUUUUGGCCCUAAGAAAUAUUUGACUAUGCUAAGAUUCUUUAAUUUGAAUUGUGAGUUCAAAUAUUCCUUUACACUAUCAACCAACUAAUUUGAUGUACUACCAAUAACUAUGUCAUCUACAUAGACAAAUAGUACUAUAAAUUUUCCAUUUACAAUUGACAUAGAAAACAGGGAAUAAUCUGAAAUAGAUUGCUUGAAGCUAUACCUUAAAAAAAGAAGCAGUAAACUUAGCAUUCCACUUCUUAAAAGCUUGCUUGAGUCCAUAUAGAGACUUGUGCAACCUACAAACUAGAUUUGAAUCAGUUGAAUAUGAGUGCUCCCUUUGUAUUCAAUAAUUUGGAGGUAUUUCCAUAUAAACUUUUUCUUUAAGAUCUCCAUGAAGAAGCCAUUAUUGACAUCAAGCUAUCUCAAACACCACCCUUGUGCUAUUGCAAUUUCCAUAAAAACUUUGACUAUAGUUUGGUUAGCAACAGAACUGAAGGUCUCUUGAUAAUCAAAUCCUUCAAUUCAACUAUAGCCCUUUGCUACCAAACGAGUUUUAAAUCUUUCCACACUUCCAUCAGCCUUCAUCUUCACUUUGUAUACCCAUCUACAACCAAUGGCAUGACAAUUUGAGGGUAGAGGUAAAACUGACCAUGUUUUUUUAUCUUCUAAUGCUUGUAAUUUAAGAGCCAUAGCAUUUUUCCAAUAAGAAUGUUGAAUUACUUGAUGAUAUGAGUCAAGUUAAUGAAUUUGGGAAAAGGAAAGGUCAAAUAUCUUAUGAAAAGAUGACAAAUUUUUAGCUAACAAGUAGUUGAUAUUAGAUGUGAAGUGGAACAAUUAAGCUUGAGUGUAAAUCAAUGUGAUAUGCUUCUAAAUGUUUAGGAACAUGUCUAACUUGAGAGCUUUUUCUAGUUAAAGUAGCAACAUCAAGUGAGACAUGAAUAAGACUAACUUAAGCAUGUUCAACAGUGCCAACAAAAGAAUUUUCAAUAAGAAUAGGACUAUUUUGAACAUGUUCAACACUAUCAAAAAAUGAGAUGAAUAAUUCUGGAGUCAAAUGAUUCUCUAAAGAAAUAUCAUUAAAAUUUGAAGGAGAUGGAACUUGUUAGACACUCGCUUACCUAAGGUAUUAGAAUUAACAAAAAAAAAUGAUCAAGAGUAGGGGUAGGUGUUUUAGGAAAUGAAGAAAUAUGAUCAUCAUGAUCCAAAUUCAAGAAAGGAAACACCUGCUCAAAGAAAAAUAACAUUCUUGGAUAUUAAAACUUUAUGAACAUCAACAUCAUACAUUUUGUACCUUUUAACACCACUAAGAUAUCCUAAGAAGAUACAUUUCAUAGCUCUUUUAUCAAAUUUCUUUUUGUGAUGAGACAAAGUGGAAACAAAACACUUACAACCAACACAUUAAGAUGAUUAUAUGUAGGCAAGGUAUGAUACAACAAUUCAAAUGGUGUUUUGUUUGAAAGAAUAUUAGAAGGCAUUAUGUUUAUAAUAUGUACUACAGUCUAAACAAUAUCACCCUAGAAUUUCAAAGGUAAAUGUGACUGAUGGAGUAAAGACCUAGCCACUACCAAAAUGUGUUGAUGUUUUCUUUCCACGAACCCAUUCUGCUGAGGUGUUUCAUUACUAGAUAAAUAAUGGAUAAUUCUUGUUUAUGCAUAAAAAUCAUUCAACCUAAUUCCAGUCCAUUUUCUAAUCUCAAAACUUUAAUUGAUGUUUGAAACUGACUUAAAAAAGAAGGAAUAACACUUGACAAAUUUGAUUUGUAUAAAACAAAAUCCAAGUAAAUAGUGAAAAAUCAUCAACAAUAGUCAAAAAAUAACUAUGACUAGAUAAUGUAGAGAGUUCAUAAGGUCCCUAGAUAUCUACAUGAAUAAGAUAAAAAAGAUUCUUUGAACUUUGGACAUGGAUGGGAAAUGGAAGUUUCUUUGUUUUGCCAUAGGACAUUCUUCACAAAGUAGAUUGUUUAAACAUUGUAUAUAUGAAAAUUGUCUAUGUAAUACAUUUAUUCUUUUCACAAGUGCAUGACCUAACCUAAAAUGCCACAAUCAAAAGACUUUAAAGUUGAAGUACAAACAUUAUUUUGUAAAGAAUUACAACCAUUAAUAAUAGAAAUAAUGAUAACUCUAUUUUACAGAGUUAUCUUGCAUUCUUUUGAGCUUAAAAAAGAUUAAUGUCCUCUUGUUUUUAAUUAAUUUAGGCCUUUUUUUACAUUUUUCUUAAUAUUUACUUUAUGCAUGCUUUAGUAGUUUAAUUAAGUAAUUUCAUUUUAUUUUCACGUUAUUAAGUCUUAUUUGUACCUUCUAUUGGUUGUACUAUAUGUUGGUUUAGGUGCAAAAGAGCUUGGAAGUCAAAUUUGCAAAGGAUCAUGCACUUUUGCUUAAUUUAACCUCAAACCAUGCUGUAGUAAUCAGAUCAUAUCUUGAGCUACAAAACUUUUAUCCACAAGAUUCUUGACCUAUGGAAAGCUAAGAGGAAGAGCUACAACUUAUAUGUGUAGCACUUCACCCAGUUUAGAACGGAUAGUGGUCAAACAUGCAGAGGAAUUCGACUAAUUGUAGACUGCAGGCAAUGUGGAUAGCAACUUGGGUGCCGAAGAUGCUGCCUAGCACCUUGGAAAGGCCAAGGACAAAACCUUGGGUGCUUAGGUGCCGACAUGUGACUUUGUACAUUAUUGGCCAUUCGACUUUACAUCAAAUGGCCAAUAAAAAAGGUAUAAAUACAAUAUUUUUUGGCUCAAAAAUGAAAGAAGAUUUAGACACUAAUUUGGGAAAAAAGAGGCUGGAACCAAAAAAGGAAAAGAAGAGAAAUAAAGAGAUUGAAGGAUCAAAAUGCUGCUUUGGAGAAUUUCUCACUCUAGAUUUGAUUUUCUCUCUCUAACUCUUUUUGUAAAAAUGCUUCAUUGUGUUAAGAUUUGUGUUUGUAUUUUGAAUAUGUUGAGCUAGAACUCUUAAUCUAGGGUUGUGGUGGAUUUUAAUAUGUAGCUUGGAUAUUGUGUUGGUUUAUUACUUAUUUUCUAUGGAAACAUUGAUGUUUACUCAAACAUGAUUUUAUUGCCCAUUUAUUUAUUUGAUCACCAUUUAAAUGUGUUUAGGCAUUUAGAUGAUACUUGAGAGAGUUAGUCUAAAUUAGACCUUUCUUUUGGGUAAUGUGUGUUGACUACACUUUGAAAUGAAUUUAAGUGUUUUGAUGUGCAAUUAGGGUAGACAUACUCCUAGUUGCCACAUAUAGUCAAUUUUUAGAACCUUGGCUUAAAGAACUUAAUUCAGUUGUUUCUUAUAGACAUAUAGUGAUUCAAUUAAGUUAGGCAAUUGUGUAAUAACUCGAUGGAGAAUUACACAUUCUUUAAGAUUCUAGACUAGCAUUAAUUUCUAUUAAGAUUUAGUAAUUAAGAAAACACCAUUUCAAGCGAAAUAUUAAAGGAUACCAUAAUCCUAGACUAUUAAACCAUUACUUCCACCUCAAUUUGUAUGUUCAAUUCUUAGAUUAGAAUUAUUAAUUAGAUUACUUUUUAAUCAUUUUUCAAAAUUUUUUGCUUGGAUAAAAUUAACUUGUUUUAAUUUUAGUAAUUAGCAACAACUAGUAAACUGACUCCUCGAGGGACUGACAUUCUAUUUACCAUUAUUACUUGUUGCAAUCAUGUACACUUGCACGUAAUCUUUGCUUGUUUUUUACAUUUAAUUUUGAGCACAUUUCAUAUCACACAAGCAAAUCACACAACAAGUCUUUGACAUUGUUGCCAAGAAGUUGUUUUUCUAUUCUUUUGCUAAUAUUAAUACUAGGCAAGUUAUUCUUAAUUCAAGCUUGUUUUCUUCAUUUUCAAGUACUUCUUUGCUAGUGUUUGAGAAGAGUAAGCAGCUUGGAAAUUGUCCUUUGUGAUCCAAAAAUUGAGAAAACCUUUCAGUGAUUACUUAGACAAAAUUCUCAAGACUCCAAUCAAUUGGAUAUAAUGGCUGAGAAUCAACGUGGGCAGCAAAUUAAAGGACAUGAAUGGAUAAUCGAUCAUUGAGGGAUUAUGCUGUUCCAUUAGUUCAAGGACUUCAUUUAAGCAUUCAAAGGCUGACAAUUCAAGCCAACAAAUUCGAGAUUAAGUCGGCCAUUAUUCGAAUGAUCUAAACAUUUGUUCAAUUUAUGGCCUCCUAAAUGAUGAUAUGAAUUCGCACAUUUCAAAUUUCUUGGAGAUUUAUGACACCUUUAAGCAUAAUGGGAUUACUGAUGAUGCCAUUCAGUUGAGGUUGUUUCCUUUCUCACUAUGGGAUAAGGCCAAAGUUUGGUUGAAUUCUUUUCCCACUAACCCAUCAUUACUUGGGACAACAUUACACAAAAGUUUCUAGCCAAGUUCUUCCCUUCUAUGAAGACUGCAAAGAUAAGGAGCGAUAUUAAUUCUUUCAUGUGGUUGGAUUUUGAGUCUUUAUACGAAUCAUGGGAGAGGUAUAAAGACUUGCUUCGGAGAUGCCCACAUCAUGGUUUACCCAAAUGGCUGCAAGUGUAAACAUUUUUUAAUGGGUUGUUGAAUCCAAUUUGGACUACCAUUGAGGUCGCAACUAGUGGUGCUUUCAUGGCUAAGUUGAUUUAUGAUGCUUAUGAUUUAUUGGAGGAGAUGGCAUCUAACAACUAUAAAUGACAUUCUGAGAGGGCCUUGCCAAAAAAGGUAGUGGGUGUUCACGAGCUAGACGCCAUUAAUGCUUUGACUACUGAGGUAGCCACUCUCACUAAAAAACUUGAUUCCUUUGGAGUUUAUUCAGUAUAGAGUCCCUUUAUUACUUGUGAUUAUUAUGGUAAGGGACAUUCAAGCGAUUAGUGUCAUAUGAGUACCGACUCGGUGCAAUUUGUGGGGAAUAGGUAAAAAAACAACAUGUACUCCUACACAUAUAAUCUAGCGUGGAAGACUUACCCCAACUUUUCUUGAAGCAACAAUCAAAGUUCUUCAUAAGCUCCACAACCACAUUUUCCUCUAGGUUUUCCAUGGCAACCUAGACCCCCAAUGUAAGAAAAAAAGUCAUCCAUGGAAGAGCUGCUCAUGCAAUAUAUGGCUAAGACAGAUGCUCUUAUUCAUAGUUAGGCAACUUUAUUGAAAAACCUUAAGACUCAAGUGGGGCAAUUAGCCAAUGUUGUCAAUAAUAGGCCUCAAGGGACCUUAUUGAGUAAUAUUGAACCCAAUCUUAAAAGGGAAGGCAAGGCACCUUGUAUGGCAGCAUUCCUUCGGAGUGGGAAAGAGGUUGGCAGUAGUUGUAAGCAAGAAAAGCCACAACAGAAGCCAAUUGAGAAUGAAUCACAAGUUGGAAAGUUAGACAAGUAAAUGUAGUCAAGGAUGCGCCAGUAACUCACCUUUCUCUUUUAUUUCCUCAAAGCUUCCAAAAGCAAAACUUGGAUGCUCAAUUUCAAAAAUUUCUAAACGUGUUCACAAAGCUCCACAUUAACAUCCCUUUUGCUGAAGCUUUGGGAAAAAUGCCUUCAUAUGUUAAGUUUUUAAAGGAUAUUUUGACAAGGAAAAGGAAAUUGGGUGAGUAUGAGAUAGUGGCACUCACUAAAAAGUGCAAUGUUAUUAUCUAGAACAAGCUUUCACCAAAGCUAAAAGAUCUAGGGAAUUUUUCGAUACCUUGUGUGAUUGGUGGUUUUAAAUUUUUUAAAGCUUUGUGUGAUCUGGGUGUUAGUGUGUCACUGAUGCCUUUGUUUGCUGCUAGAAAACUUGGACUUAAAGACAUUUAGUUUACUAUAGUCACCUUGCAAUUAGUAAACAGAAGCACCCGAUUGGCAUUAUAGAGGAUGUGUUAGUUAAAGUGGGGCAUUUUUACAUCCCGAAGGAUUACCUUAUGCUUGAGAUGGAAUAAGUUAUGGACAUUACUCUAAUCAUGGGACAACUUUUCUUGCUAACUGCAAGUGCAAUCAUUGAUGUGAUGAAAGGCAUGAUAACCUUUAAGCUUAGAAAAGAGGUAGUUGAGUUCAAUAUUUUCAAUGCAAUCAAGCAUUUUGUCUCUUUAGUUAGUUACUUUAGAAUGGAAAGGGUAAACAUAUUUUUCCACCUAUAAGUGAUCAAGCACCAACCUUUGGCUUAAAGACACCACCUCUAUAGAUCAAAUUUGAAUAGUCGCCUGAGAAGCAUUGUCCACCACCUCAUAGUUAUCUCAAUUUUCAUGUUAGACAGCAAGUGUCACUCAAUAAUUCUAGCUUCAAACUUUUACCAUGGAAAAGUAAGGCAAGAUGGUUGGUUCAUUUUAAAGUGAUCAAGAUAUAUCCAUGUGGGAUAACAGAGAUAAAGAGUGAUGCCAUUAGAGUACUUAUGGUCAAUGGAAUAAGCCUAAAGCCAUAUAUUAUGGAUGAAGAAAUGCAAAAUGGGGUGAAUCAGUCAAACUAGUGACUAUAAAGAAACGCUUAUUGGGAGGCAAUCCAAAUUUUUGAAAUUCUUAAUCCUUUUGUUUGAAUGAUGUUUUUAAGAUUUUCCUAUUAAGGUAUUUUUGUUAUUUUUUUUAUUUAGAUUUUUGUCACCUUAAUAGAUCCUCUUAACCACUUUAGAUAUAAUGAGGAUGAAGAUGAAGAUUAGAAAAUCUCCAUUGCCCAGGGGAGUAUUCUUGACUUUUCUUUUUUACUUUCUCAUGUUGAGGACAAUGUUAAUUCUAAGUUUGGGGGGAACUUUUUAGUUUUUAAGCGUUAUUUUCUUUUUUAUGCAUUUAUGUUUUUAGACUUUAAGUUUAGUUAAGUUGUUUAUCAUUUAAUUUUUUGCAUAUUUUGAAAAAAAAAAUUAGCUAGAGUUAGUUGCACCAAUUUCUUUGAUUCACCUAUACAAUGAUGAAAAUUAGUUAUCUUGUUCUCUUUUACUCUUAAUAAAUGUGAAUAUUAUUUGAGUAUUAUGUUGAACUCUCAUGUUAAGUAUCAUUGUAGGAUGAGAUUUUCCACAAUUUGAGCACUAUAUCUCUUGCAUUCAAUUAUUGUGUACAUUUAGAGAAGAUUUAUGUGAAUGUAAAUUUUUGAAUAAUGUUUUGAGUUCUAGAACUUGUUUGAGCUUCUUUCGAGGUGAAAUCCUGGGCUAUACUUAGUUAAGGAAAUGACUUAGACCAUCCUUGGAUUGCUUGAGCCUUUUGAGCCACCUUGCUUUAUAUUUAUCCCUAAAAUACCCCUUUGAGCCUAAUAUAACCUUUUCUUUGUUUCAACACUUCAUUAUUAGCCUAGACCUUUAUAUAAAAUGUUCCAAAUUUUUGCAUCCCUCACUCCUAAGAGCAUAAGUCAAUUUAGGAAGUGUAAUGAGCAAGAUAGUGAAAAAAAAAGACACAGUAAAGAUGAAAAGUGAUUAAACGUUCAACAGAUUUGUAUUCAUCUCACUACCUAAUAAAAGAAAUAAGUUUGGGGGUGUGAAAAUAGAGAAGAAGAAAAAGAAUGAAGUGUUGAAUAAAAGAAAAAGUUGUGUAAAAGAAGUAUACUAGGUGAAAGAGAAUAAAGCUCUAAAUAGGUCCUAGAUUGACUAUGUGCUUUGGGUGAAUUAAGCCACAUAAUACCCCAUAUCCUACCUUCACCCUAGCCAUACGUUACAAGCCGAAUAAAGUCUUAAGGAUUGUUAAAUAAGUGUAAGUCUACAAUAGUGGAGAGAGGAAUGCAAAGCAAACAUAUGAAACUCAAGACUAAUUUCACUUUUUCAUAAGCAUAAAUUUCUCUGGAUUGUAUGAUGGUUCAUUGUAAAAGAUUGCACACACACACGAGAAUUCAUUCGAGAAUGGGCUUGCAUACGAGUGGAAAUGUGAACUUGAAUAAUAUUUAUGUUUUGCUUUGAGUUUAGAGAAAAUGAGAUGACUUAUGAGGAAUAUAAAGGUAAUCGUUAAUUUGGUUCAACCUAAUUCUAGUUAGAUGUUUUCUUUGUUUAGGUUUUUAUUUCCUUUUGUUUUAAGUUUUGCUCAAGGAGAAGCCAAAGGUUAAGUUUGGGGGUGCAUAACUCUAUUUUAUAGAGUUAUCUUGCAUUCUUUUGAGCUUAAAAAUGACUAAUGUCCUCUUGUUUUUAAUUAAUUUAGACAUUGUUUUUACAUUUUUCUUAGUAUUUACUUUAUGAUGCUUUAGUAGUUUAAUUUUGUAAUUUGAGUUUAUUUUCAUGUUAUUAAGUCUUGUCUGUACCUUCUAUUGAUUGUACUAUAUGUUGGUGAAGGUGUAAAAGAGCUUGUAAGUCAAAUUUACAAAUGAUCAUGCACAUUUGCUUAAGUUGAGCUUAGACCAUGCUGUAGUAAUCAAAACAUAUUUUGAGCUACAAAACUAUGAUCAACAAGAUUCUUGCACCUAUGGAAAGAUAAGAGGAAGGGAUACAACUUUGAGGUUCAGCACUUCACCUAGUUCAGAAGGUAUCAUGGUCAAAAAUCCAGAGGAAGUUGACUAAUUGUAGUAGACUACAUGCAAUGCAGAUAGUGAAGGUGCUGCCCAACACCUUGAAUGGUCAAGGAUAGAACCUUGGGUGCCUAGGCACCAACAUGUGGCUCUGCACAUUUUGGCCAUUCGAUUUUACAUCAAAUGGCCAAUAAAGAGGGUAUAAAUACAAUUUUUUUGGCUCAGGAAUGAAGGAAGAUUCAUACAAUAAUUUGAGAAAAAAGAGGCUAGAACCAAAAAGGGAAAAGAAGAGGGAAUCAAGAGAUUGAAGGAUCAAAAAGUUGCUUAAGAUAAUUUCUCAUUUUAGAUUUGAUUUUCUCCUUCUAACUCUUUUUGUAGAAAUGCUUCAUUUUGCUGAGAUUUGUUUUUGUAUUUUGAAUAUGUUGAGCUAGAACUCUUAAUUUAGGGUUAUGGUAUAUUUUUAUAUGUAGCUUGGAUAUUGUGUUGGUUUAUUACUUGUUUUCUAUGGAAACAUUGAUGUUUACUCAAAUAUAAUUUUUUUGCCUAUUUAUUUGCUUGAUCACCAUUUAAAUGUGUUUAGGUAUUUAGAUGAUACUUGAGAGAGUUAGUCUAAAUUAGACCUUGAUUUGGGUAAUGUUUGUUCACUACACUUAGAAAUGAAUUUAAUUAUUUUGAUGUGCAAUUAGGGUAGACAUACGCCUAGUUUCCACAUAUAGUCAAUUUUUAGAACCUUGGCUUAAAGAACUUAAUUUAGUUGUUUCCUAUAGACAUAUAGCAAUGUAAUUAUGUUAGGCAAUUGUGUAAUAUCUUAAUAAAGAAUUACAAAUGCUUUAGGUUUCUAAACUGGCAUUAAUUUCCAUUAAGAUUAAGAAAUUAAGCAAACACCAUUUCAAGUGAAACAUUAAAGGAUACCAUAAUCCUAGACUAUUAAACCAUUACUUCUACCUUAAUUUGUUAUUGUCACUUCUUAGAUUAGAAUUAGUUAAUUAGAUUACUUUUUAAUCAUUUCUCAAAAUUUGGUGCGUGGAUAAAAUUAGCAUGUUUUAAUUUUAGUAAUUAGCAACAACUAGUAAACCAACUCCUCAAGGGAUUGACACUCUAUUUACCACUUUAUUACUUGUUGUGAUCGUGUACACUUGCAUGUAAUUUUGCUUGUAUUUUAUAUUUAAUUUUGAGCAUAUUUCACAUCUCACAAGCAAAGCAUACAACAAAUAACUAAAGACGAGUUUUUCAAGAUUGAAUUUUCACAAAUCCUUUUCAUCCUUGUUAUUCUGGAUGAGAUAUAGGCCUAAGUGCACUUUAGCCACACCAGUCACUGUCCAAGAGGUACGAUCCUAAAUAUUGUAGAUUUUAUCAGUGAAGAAUACAUCAUUUGAUGAUGAAUCAAUGAGCUGAGAAACUGACAUCAAAUUGAAUUUUAAACUAUGUGCAUAUAAAACAUUUUUGAAGGUGAGCAAUGAGGUUACUUUCACUAUACCAAUAUGUGAAACAAGGGCUUUGGUAUUAUUUGGAAGCUAGACAUACGAUUGACAGUAGGUUUAGCAUAAGUGAAGUUAUCUAAGGUACAAGAUACAUGGUCUGUUGGUCAUGUGUCUAUAAUCAAGGACCUUUUCUUAAACAUGAAAGUAUUCACAUGAAAGUAUUCACAUGUUUAUAUCUAGCAGGAAGAUUAUUAGCUGCAUUAAAACAAACAAUACUAGAAACAAUACUUGCAAAGGAAGAAUUUACUAGGGAAUGUUUGGUUUGUUGAGAGCUUGUUGAAGGGUAAACUAUAGUAGGAUUGAUCGGAAGACUUUUAUCAUCAUUAAUAAUCAAACUACUCUCAUUAAGAAGACUCAUCAACUCAUCAACUUGCUACCUUAUCAUGGAUAUCUAUGUUAGUGACCCAAAACCCGUACCUAAACCUUCAGUCUCAUUUUCAUGGUCAUACUGUAGCUUUUCUAUGUCAUUUACAUUUCCAACAAAGAUAUGUUCAUGAUAGAUUUCUUUUUCUUAAAACUAGCUCCUUUUCUCUUAGUGAACUUGAAAUCAUCUGCGAAACCAAUUAUUCUACAACACAUUUCCUUGCUAUGACCCUUUUUAUUGAAGUGUGAACAUAUAAUAUCUUUUUUAGGCUUCUUUUUCCUUUCUGAUACAGUUGCCAUAACUACUAAAGAAUCAAAAACUGGAUAAGCCUAUACUAACAGAUUUCUCUAAGUUUCCUCCAUUAAGAAUAGGCUAUAAACCUUGUUAAGAGAUGGUACAUGAUCCAUCAAGAUAAUUUGAGAUCUGAUUCCCAGAUUUGUAUCAUUUAACCCAUUUAAAAAUGUGAAAGUCAUAUCCUUUUAGUAUUGCUCAGUGCAUUUCCUAAGCAAUUUGGAUUACAUUUCCCACAUUCACACCUUGUGUAAGGGUUUGAAAUUUCUCAUUUCCUCCUAGAUCCCUUUCAACUCAAUGAAAUAGGCAUGUACAGAUUUAAUACCUCGUGUAACAUUGCCUAGUGUAUACUACAAAUUGCAGACCUUGGUCUCAUCUGACUAUGCAAAAUUCUGUUUUAGAGUAUUCUAGAUUUCCACAGCAUUGUCCAUAUAAAAGAUUGUUAAGGCUAUUGGUGCAGUAAUAGACUCUAAUAUCCAAGCCACAAUUAAGUCAUCACACCUUUUCCAUUGCUCAAAUAAAGAAUUUGCAAGUUCUAGUUUCAAUAUAAUACCAUUGACAAAACCAAGUUUAUUCCUAGCAAACAAUGCAAGUAAGAAUGAUCUACAUGAAGGUAUAUAAUUAUCUACAAAUAAUUUAGGGUCUAUCACCAAUUAUCCAAGAUGAUCAUUGUAAUGCUAUUAAAAUGGUGAUUGAGGAUUCUCAAUUGAUGAAACAUUAUUCCUUAAAUUUGUUGUGUUUGCCAAAGAAGACGAGACAAAUUUGUUAUUUGCCAUUGAUACCAAAACUCAAGAAGCAACAAAUCAAGAAUGAAGAAGAAUCUUUGAAAUUUGUAACUAAGAUUUGAUACUGAUUCGAAAUCAAGAAAUGUAAAGUACUUGCUUGAACCAGAGUCAAUCACCACAAGAUCGUAUGCUUUGAUACUAUGUUGAAAGUUGAAGAAUAGAAACUGAAAAAUGAUAAACUGAAGUAUAAAGAGAUGAAAGAAUGAAGAGCAGUUGAAGAAUUUGUUGAAUCUUCAUUGAGCAAAACUGCUUAUAAAGAAACUAUUUAUAAUAGUCUAUUGGAAGAGUAAAGGAAAACUAACAACCAACUAACUGAGUAAUUCCAAGGUUAACUAACUAAUUACUAUUAUAGUAACAAUAGCUGAAUAAAAUAUAAAACUUUAUAAUAAAGAAAAUGAGUCAUGUGACUUCUAAGUGACUUUGUUCCCUUUCAGCCUUUCAUCUUAUUGUCAAACUUCAGCUCUUUAUAUCUCUAUCUAUAACUCAAUGUCUAACAAUGAUUGCCUCAUCCAUAUCCACUUGACUUAUACUAAUAUUUGUUUUUUUAAUAACUUUACAUGAAUAUGUUUAAAAAUUUCUAAUUAAUUACAUUUAAAUCGUUAUGUUGAAUUUGAAAAGAUGAAACUUAUUAUGAUUAGGAUUAUUAUUUUAUUUUAUAAAUCCUUUGAAAAUUACAGUAAAUCUGGUACUUUCAUUUCAUUUAAAAUAAACGUAGUUAUAUAUCGUUAUGUAAAGUGACAUGUAAAUUUAUCAAAGAAGAGUAUAGUUAUUAAUAAUAUAAAGGACAAUACAUUUGUUUCAUGAUUUUUUUGUUAAUAGUUUAAUUAAAAUCAUUCGUAUGAAAAAAAAUAUUGAUGAGACGAUUAUGGAUGUUUGAAAAAAAUGAUGAAAGCAAGGGCAAGGGCAAAAAUAUAACAUUUGUGGCAGGACGAGAGGUCUUAAGGGUCCAGGGUAGAUGAGGCAAUCCCCACCCCUAUCAUACUCCAUUUCUAUCCCUAGUUAUGGAAGUGUGUGGCUGCUUUAUAUUUAUGUCAAAUUUCAAAGGAUAUUGGGUGUUAUAGUAUUGGCUCCUUAUUUUUACAAGUGUCUACUAGUUAGAUCAUCCGCCUAAGCCUGCGUUUUUUAUUCUGGUUCAAUUUAGACAUGAUUUUAAGGUUUGGUCUCUUUGAGAAUAUUAUUCUAUUAAUAAAUAUUAUAUUUUAAUUUAAAAUAUAUUUUAAAAUAUUAAUGUAAAAAUAUUUUAAUAAUUAACAUAAUUUAAAUGGAUGAACCAACGAAACUAAGGUUUAGGUUUCCAAAUUGCCAAUUGAAAUCGACCCUACCAAAUGGAUGGACUAUUCAAAGCUAUUUUCAUCAUUUUUUCAUGAUGACACUAUGUAUUUAUUUUUUCAAUAAAUAAAAUAUCUUUCCUUUCAAAAAAUAUAGAAAAUAAAGACAAUGAUGGCCAAAUGUCAUGAUAAAAUAACCAUUAAUAUUUUUCCUAAUUAAUUGUCAACUUAAUUAUAAGGUCUAUUUUAAAUAUAUAAUAUAAUUACGUUGAUUAGUCUUCGGUAACAGUUAGUAUUUAGUAUUAUUUUUACUCAUUGAGUUAAAGUAAUCAAACAAGGAUUGCAACAUCUCUAAGGUUUCAUGUACUUAGUAAAUAAAUUCACAUUGAUCAAGCCAUCUCCUCUAUAACCAUUCGGACAAUCAAAAGCAAUAUGCCAAAACCUUUGGUAUUAAAACACUUCUUAUUAACAUUAGAAGCACUAGUAGAAGUAGUUUCUUUAUCAUUAUUGUUUGAAGUUUUGGAAAAGUUUACCUCUAUAGGUGGAAUGGUUACUGAACUUUGUCUCCUACGAUUUGAGAUAGAUUCCUUUUGUCUAGAUGAACUCAAUGAGCUUUUCCAUGAUCAUUUCUUCUCAACCUUUAAUGCUAAUAUGAUGACAUCUUUUAAGCUUUAAUAUGUUUGCAGUUGAACAACAUCUAUAACUUCAACAUUGAGACCUCCGAGAUAACAAGCUAUAGUUUGCUCUUCAAGUUCAUAGGCAUUACACUUCAUUUGAAGUUGUUCAAACUCCAUUGUAUAUUCUUUCAUCGACAUUAUUCUUUGCCUCAAGUUAUGAAAUGUAAGAAAAAUUUCCUAUUGAUAGUGCUCAUUAGGAACUUAUGCUUGAGUUCUCGAUACAUCUUUUCCCACGUUUUGAUCUUGUUGUGGCUUUCUCUUUCUCAUUGCCAUUUGAGACUUCCCACCAAAUAUAGGCGUGCUUUUUUAAUUUACUUGCAACAAGCUUCACACAUUUUUCAUUGAGAACAUCUUUGAGCUCAAAAACUCUUUCCACUAUAUAGACCCAAUCAAGAAAGUCAUCAGGGUGAAGUCUUUCUUCAAACUUAAAAAUGUCAACCCUAAUUCCUAAAUCUCUAGUAGCAAUGGUUCUUAGGCGAUGUAUAGGUACAUUUUCAUUGAAAGACAAUUAUUGAUCAUUAUCCUCUUUAUCAUUACAGCUAUAAUUGUUGAUUUGAGCAACAUCAUGUCUUUUUGAGUUGCUCGUGUAAUUCUUAAAUUUAGCGAUGUAAUUCCUCAGUCUUAAUCUCAUGAACAUUUCUUUAAUGAUCAUUUGGUGUCUUGGUAGCAUUUUUUUGGCUCAAAUGAAGAACAACAAUUAUGGCAGUGAUAAUAUGGUGAUAAUGUGGUGAUGAUGACGUGGUGAUGUAGAAAAAAAUGAUGAUAGAAUUAUAAAACAAUAAAAAAUAUAAAACUACUCGAACAAGGAGGGUCGAAAUCCGAUAGCAACAAGAACUAGACUACACAAUGAAUAAUGAUCCUCCUGCUUUUAUACUAAACUAAUAUCAAGACAUCGUGAGGACACCAAUCUUGGCAAGAAUAGAAACCUCACUAAGGUGAAAAAUGGACACACUCCCAUUUUGGUUGGCCAAACCAAAGAUAUUAGAACCUCUUGCUCUUUUGAAAAAAGUCUAAAAGGAAUAAAUACUAUUCAUUUAAGAAAAUAUUCUUUAUUUAUUCUCAACUUGAUGCCUAACAUUUUACCCUUUAGGAUUUAUAUAACUACUCCUAAGAAAGAGAGCCUUCUUAUUUUUCCCAUGUGGGACGACAAAUAAACUAAAACUAUUUUUGUAUCCUAUAAUUCUCACGUGGGAUUUAGAUAAUAAUAAUCUAAUAAUAUACUUUUGUAUCAUUAAGACCAAGAAAGCUAAGAGAUUCAGAACGUUAAGGAAGAAAGAAAUUAAGUGCCUAAGCAAGAAAAUUAUUUCUCCUACCUUGAAUAGUCUGGCAGGGGAUGCAUCAAUAUUGGAUGGAUAUUUUAUCAACCAAAAUGAUGUGAUUACGAGGGAAAUACAAUAUAUUUGGUGUAUAGGUAUUCAUUUGGGUAUUUCACCAAAGUGUCCAAGGAAGAAAAUUUUGAACAAAUUGGAGGUUAUGGAGAAAAAUGUAAAAUGAAUUUCAAGAAAAAAAAAGAUAAGUGAAGCUCACCUAUCAUUGGCUGUAAAUUUCCUUUUGAUUGCAAUUUUUUGGGUUUAGCCAUUAUUUUGUUUUCGUUGCUUUUACGGUAUUCUAUUAGUAACUUAGUUUCAUGUGAAUAUUUACUACUUUUGGAAAGAUAACUUGUAAAUAUUUGUGCUAGAGCUUUUUACAUUGGGAGCUUUUUACAUUGGAAAUUUUCAUAGUAUUUUUAAUUUCUAGUGGGUCUUUUCCAACUGUCAUGCCACAGCAGAUGUUUUGUUGAUUACUCUAUAUAAUGUUGAAUGCAGUUAAUUAUUUUUUGGAUUCUGUGAUUAUUUUGAUAUGCUAUCAUUAUAUUUUGUUAUUGCCUCCCUUUUUCGUGCUUUCACUACUUUAAUUUCCAAGACUUAGGCUAUUGCUAUUUUUUGUUUCACCAUAUGGAUUAUGUCACGAAAUGUAAAGGGCUUGGAGUGCUUUAUUAAGAUUAGAAUGGCCAAGAAAGAAGUCAAUAACUAAAAGGUAGAUAUGCUUAUAAUCCAAGAACCUAACCUUCCAAACAUUGCUGAUAAUAUUGUUGAGCAUUUAUGGUCCACAAGUUGUCUGAAGUGGGUUUAUAGUCCAAUAAAGGGUAGAAUUGGUGGUUUUCUCAUUAUUUGGGACAAAUCUAUGUUCUCUAGCUCGACAGUGAUCAUACGUGAUAGAUUUAUGCUUAUGGCAUAAAGGGCACGAAUAUUUUAUGGGAUGAGCUUUGAGCCCUCAAAUCUAUUCAUGUAUACAGGAACUUUAAUACAAUCAAAAGUAAUAAGAAAAGAAUGGGAUUCACAAUGACUUGUACAGGUGCUGUCGACUUUAAUGAUUUCAUUUUUUAUUGUGAAUUAACUUAAUUGCCUCUUGAAGGUAAAAGUUUACUUAGUUUAGCUCAGAUGUAAAACGCAGUCGUUUGGACUGCUUUUUUUAUUUCUUUCAAGUGGCUUUUUCAAUUUUGGUCCCUUCGAUAGUAAUGCUAUAGAAGACUCUUGUUUGACCAUUUGUCAUAUACUUCUUUAUUCCAAAGAUCUUAAUUGUGCAUUUAGACCAUUGUGGUUUUUGGACUGCUAGUGUUUAGCAAAUAAUUUUAUUGAGACCAUCUACGAUAAAUGGAAAUGCAUGGAAAUGGAAGGGAAUGCGGGCUUUUGUCUCAAGGUGAAACUUAAUUGUCUCUAAUCCUUUUUUAGGCAUUGAAAGAGGUUUUUGGGAAUGUUGAUUCCAUUAUUAAUGUUAUGGAGUGCAAAUUGAAUGUCUUAGAUGAGAUUGGUAACUCUAAGGAUCUCACCCUGGAUAAAUUUGCUACCAAAAAAUACAUUAUGAAGUUGUUAUAGACAUCCACAAGGAAUAGGGAAUCUAUUUAAAGGAAAAAAUCAUGCAUCUAGUGGAUUCAUGAAGGUGACAAGAACACCAAAUUCUUCCAAUGGAAGGUGAAAGCUUGAUCAUGAUACAAUUUCAUGGGUGGUAUCAUGUGGAAUGCCUCUUAGAUCAAAGCCUAAGGAAGUGUAAGAAGCUACCUUUGAGUACUUUAGAAGAUUGUUGUAUAGUGAUCAUUGGUCGUAUUCUUUUCAUGCACUUCCUUUUAAAAAGAUGUCCAAGUGUGAUGCAUUAAACCUUAAGGCACCCAUCACUAUGGAAGAGCUUCGAAGUGCAAUAUGGGAUGGUUAUGGCUUUAAGGCUACUGAGCCUAAUGGUUUUUAAUUUAAAUUUCUUUAAGAAAUCUUAGUUUUUAGUACAUGUUGAACUUUUAAAUUUGUCUUUGAGUUUUUUAUGAUAAAGAGACUUAAGAAAGACAUAAACUAUUCAUUCAUUGCCCUUCAUUUUGAAGGUCCCAAAUCCAACCACUCUUAAAAAGUAUAGGGAGAUUAACCACAUUAAAUCUUUAUACAAGAUAAUUGCAAAGCUCUUAACCAACCAUCUCAAGUUUGUCAGUACCCGAGCAUUUAGCUCAUUGGUUGGUGUAUGAUCCUCUUGCCUAAAGAGUAGGGUUCAAAUCCCCCUUCGCCCAAUUAUUAAAAAAAAAAAACCAUCUCUAGUGUGUCAUCUAUACAGUGAUCAAUGACAUUUAAAGUGCCUUCAUCACUAGCUGUUAGAUUUCAAAUGGCAUUGUGCUUGUAAAUGAAAUAAUUAACAAUAUGCAAAAAGAGGCUCACAACAAAGGUGGUAUCAUUCUCAAACUUGACAUUGAGAAAGCUUUUAAUUGUGUGGAUUAGGACUUCUUUGUCAUUAUCAUGGAAUUCAUGAGUUUUGGACUAAAAUAUCAUAUAUGGAUUUAUGAAUGCAUUUUUACUAUUCGAGUCUUUAUUUUGGUAAAUGGGUCAAACCACAUUUGAGUUCUCCAUUCUUCACACACUUCAACAAGGGGACCUCCUUUCUCUAUUUUUUUUUCAUCAUGGCAAUUGAGACACUCCAAUUUCUUCUCAUAUGGGCUAAACAACUAUAGCUUUUUUGGGUAAUAAUCUCACUACAUUAAACAUGGUUACCUCCCACCUUUAAUUUGUUAAAGACACAAUCAUUUUCGUAAAGCUUAACCAUAAUGGCAUAGUUAAUGUUAGGUGAUUGUUGCAAUGUUAUGAGCUUAUUUUAGUACAAAAUCAAUUUUGAUAAGUCUUGUGCAUAUCCAAGUAGUAUCGACAAUGACAUAGGGAUUGAUACGGCUAAUGUUCUACAAUAUGGAUUAGGUUCUCUACCUUUCAUCUAUUUAGGCUUACCUUUUGGCACCAAGCUAAGGAACCUCAAAACUUCAGACUCGGUGAUAGAUAAAUUCAAGAACCACCUAGCAUUUUGGCAAACGAAAUAUCUAUCCUUUGAAGGAAGAUUAACACUAUUCUUAACUCACUACCUCUAUAUUACUUAUUAGUUUUUCAUGCACCAAAAGGUAUUAUCAAGUGCAUUGAGCAGCUGAGGAGAUCGCUCUUAUGAGGUGGGGGUUUGAUAAGAGAAAGAUUUCUAAGAUCAAAAGGAGUGUAGUUUGCAAGCCAAAGAAAUAUGGAAAGUUUGGAAUCACUAGUUUUUGCCAUAAAAACACAUUAUUUUUAUGCAUAUGGUGGUUAGGUAUGGUGUGGAGGAGGAUGCUCUAUGGAGAAACCUUAUUCUUAACAAGUAUGGCAAAGGGAAAACUAGUUGGCUUACUUCAACUAGUGACCUAAGGUGAAUGUCACCAACAUGGAAAAACGUUAUUAAUCUUCCCCUCCCCAAUGGCAUGCAUGGACUUGUUGGUUUUAACUCUUGUAGGUGGAUUGUUAGGAAUGACUCCAAUGUUUACUUUUGGUAGGAUAACUGGCUUUCUUUGCCACCCUUACUUAAAAAAACAUACCUCACCUUUUUUUGAUAACACUAGACAAGGAUGCCAAGGUAAUUAACCUAUGGAAUGUUGGAGUGGGCAAUUUCUUUCUAGAGAGUCUUAUACUCAAGGGAGUUUGAUUCUUAUAAUAUUAUGUUAAUGCUUGGCAAGGAAGAAAAACUAAUAUGAAAGCAUAAUCCAAAAUGGAGUUUCUUGAUUAAGGCCCUCACAUCCUUGUUCAACUUUAAUCACGGUGAUUGGCAAGUUUAUUCUUUUCCUUGUGGAAAAUCACCAUUCCCCAUAAGGUUCAGUGUUUCAUUUUGUUGGCCAUACUUCACUCUAUACUAACCAAGCCAUUCCUAAAAGAAAGGGGAGUUCAUUUUGAUAAUGCCCAACUAUCAUACAUUUGGUACAAAUAUGAGAUUGAGACUUGUUCGCAUGUUCUCUUGACUUGCACUUUCAACUAGACUGUUUAGUCCAUUGUACUUAGUUAAUGGAGAAUUUCAUGGGUGGUUCCGAAGUCCAUAACCACUCACAUCUAGUCUAAGGAAGAUUGUAUUCAUGACAAAAGAACGUGAAGGCGAUGGAUUAUGAUAUGUAGGUAUGCUCUUUGGUCAUUAUGGUUAGUUAGGAAUGAAAUGAUUUUCAAAGGGAAAUAGUGUGAAAGUAUGGAGAUAUUUUUCCUCAUCAAAAUGUGCUCUCUUUUAUGGAUUGUACAUUUGAUGGAGCAGACUUGAUUGACGAAAUUGGGUGGUGGCAAGAACGUUGGAAGUCUAGCAAAAGUUAUGUUCCCAUUCAUAGAAGACUUAACAUAUCAUGGUAUCCUUAACAUGUUAAAGAGUACAAAUUCAACGUUGAUGGUUCCGUUAGGGAAAAAUUGGGUCUUCUAGGCUGUGAAAGGUCCUUCAUGACGUGAAUGACUAUAUUGUUGGGGUUUUCUUUUGACUUUUAGGCACUUAAGGUUCUAAUUAUAUGGAAAUCAUGAUGAUAAAACAUGUUUUACAAUUAUUCUCUUCUUCCCUCUAUAUGGAUAUGAAAUUUGAUUAUGCAGUUGCAAUCUCAUAGGCUUUGUCAAGACCCAAACCCAGGGGCGAUGACUAGUGCACGAGCCCAGCAAGCAAGCCCACUAGAUUCGAGCAAGCUUCAAAGUUCAUAUUCAAACAUACAUAGGCCAAGGAAUUCAAUCAUUAAAUAUUCAUAAUAAAUUCAAAUAAAAUACAAUAUCACUGGCUCAAUUUCCAUACAAAUAGUAAUAGGGCCAUACGUUGUCUAUCCAACAGGUUCAUAUAUAUAUAUUAACCCUUGAUACACCAUAUAACAUGGCACUUAGUGCUUACACACAUUAAACACAGCAAAAGGCUUUAAUUGACUCAGCGAAGUGACCAAAACGAAUAACCUAUUAGAUACCAAAAUUAGUCUAUCGUUGGACAACCUUUACCACAAAGCUUUGUGUGAAAUCCCACCUUGAGUAAGAGCAUAAGUUAGGAAAUCCUUGGGUGAGAAUAUAGAUUAUAUGUUUUGAACAUCAAACUUAGAUUGAAACUUCAAAAGAAUUAUUGACACUUUUUAUUAUCUGUCACUUUUGAAGUAAAAAAUUUUCUAAGUUUGGACGGGGUUAAAAUAUGUGAUUUUUGUAUAACAAUCUUUUGAAAAAAAAAAUGGCGAUAAUGAUUCCUUUGAUUUUUAGAUGAUCAAAAAUGAUUUUUCCAUAAUUUUUGAAGCACAUUUGCUAUGAUAAAUGGGAACCGCAAAUUUAAUAUUAGUUGAACUUUUUUUUUUAUUUUGUUCUUGAAACCAAAAUUUAGAUUUUGAUUCUUAUGGAUUUUGAUUUUUUUGAUAUUUUUAUUGAAUCCAAAUGGGGAGUUGUUUGCUUAUUUACAUUAAAAUCUUAAGUAAAUGGAGAGUAAAAAGUAAAGAAAACAUUUACUUUAAUGGUAUUUAAUGUAAAUAAGCUGGGCAGGUUUUAUAGACAAUCUGUCUCAGAAAACUACAUUGUGUCUCAAAUGUAUCGAUACAUUUAGCCCAUAAUGGGUCUAAUGAACAUGUAUCGAUACAUGUUCAUAAUGUAUCGAUACGUUUUCCCCAUAACAAAAUGCAUCGAGACAUGAGCCAAUGUAUCGAUACAUUCCAUAGAUUUCAAAAAAUAAAAGGGUAAAAAUGUAUUUUUAUACCCUAACCUAUAAAUAUAACACAUUUUUUGAGGGUUGGCAAUCCUUAGUUGCAUUUGCAAGGUAAAACACCUAUUCUUAAGCUCUUUUAAUUCAUUUUUGGCCCAAAAUUCCAUUUUUAUGAUUCUAAAGUUUAGUUUUGAGUUUUUAUGGAAAAAGAUGACAUUUUUAGAUUUUAAAUCUUUUGGUUUUGGAUUUUCAAAACUUAAAUAGUUGUUUUAUUUCCCAGAUUUUCUGUUGGUGGUUAAAUCUUAAAAGCUUUGUGAUUUCCUUAUGCAUUUAAGCUCACCUAUGGCAAGAAUGGAACAUUUAUGGGUUUCUAAGCAUGGGUUUCAACUAGAAAAUUAGUUUAGCCUAAAUCGAGUAGUUUCGAAAGCACCUUGAAUGAUUAUUACGAAAUUCUUAUUCUAUGAAAUGAUUAUAAUGAAUGUUGUUUGAUAGGAACACAUGAAAACUCCAUAAAUUUCGUCGAAACGGAGUUAUGAUUGGAGCUAGGAAUUGAAUCUCUAACUAGGUGAGUGGGUACACCACUUCCAAAUUAUAUUGAUAUGUAAAGCUAGCGUGAUUUCUUUGAAAAGGAUUAUUUAUGUAUGUUGAAAUGAUAUCUCUAAAGUGGUUAUCAAAGGAUUUGAGUUUGAAGAAUAAAAAAUGAUUUUUAAAGAAAAACAGAUUCUUGGUGAUUGUGAUAUGAUUAAUGCAAUGGUUUUCAAAUUGUUUACGAAUCUACUAUGUAUGUAAAUACUCAACUAUGUAUUAGUUUUCAGCAAGGGGGUACAACCACCUUAUAUUUGAAGUCCACUCGAUUACUCCAAUCUUUGGACUAGUGUGGGUACGAGAUAUUGUAUGCUUAUUUAUAGAUGCUAUAAUGUGCAUGUUUGGUAUGACGAAUGCCAUAAGAUUAUGUACAUGAUGUAAAUUCCAUAUACCGUAUGAGAUGAUUAAGUAUGCAUGAUGUAUACUGUAAGAUUGUAUAUAUGAUGUAAAUUUCAUAUACCAUAUGAGGUGAUUAAGUAUGCAUGAUAAAUGCCAUGAGAUAAUGUAUAAGAUGUAUAUUCCGUAUACUACAUAAGAUGAUUGAGAAAGCAUGAUGAAUGUCAUGAGAUUAUGUAUAUGAUGUAUUUUCCAUAUACCUUAUGAGAUGAGUAAGCUAGUAUGUGAAGGACAUUCCUUAUACCUAAUGCUACAAGUGUGAGAACUCUUUGAGUGCGAUUAGUUCAACUCUCAUGAGGUGCAAGUGAUGACUUCACUUCUAUGAUGCAUCAUAAACAUCCAAGGUGCAGUGGGACUAUACAUUGUCAGCCCAAGGCUGAUGGGGGACAUACCAUCCCAAACUAUGAGCUUAACGUUAAUGGAAUGAUCAUAAUUAUUAUGUUUAUAGCAUGUUACAUUGUAAUGUUGUUUGAGUAUUGUUCUUAAUUUGUACUCUAUGUUGACAUGAAAAUGUGAUUAUGAAGAAGUUUGAGCCUUCGAGAAAGUCCUAAGAGGUAAGGGAACUUAGUGAAUAGAAAAAAUGGAGGAUUUUGUUUAGAAAUUUGGGUUCUAGGCUGAAAGUAUCGAUACAUAAGGGUUAAGUAUCGAUACAUUUCAAGUAGAAUGCUUUAGGAGGCUUUUUGUGUGAAAUGUAUCAAUACAUUUUACUAAUAUAUCUAUAGAUGUAUGAAAGUAUCGAUACAUUCAAGAAGGCAUCAAUAGUUUUGGUGCAGAAUAGGUUGUUUGAUUGAAUUUGAUGAGAAUUUCAAAGGUAAAGGAUUUCCAAAGGUCUAUAUUGACAUGUUUUCAUAUGAAUACUAUUCAAAUGUGUUCAAAUAACAUGUUUUGUGAAUUCUAUGAUAAAAUUAUUUAUGUAAGACAUGAGAUUACAAGUGUAUGUUUACGAAAUACUCUAUUCCCUGGCUUGCCCCUUCCCGCAUCCACUCAGGGAGCCUUUGUGACUCACACGUUAUUUUCCCUAUUUCUUUUGUUGCAGACCAGUGAUAGUGGUUAAUAGCAACUAGUGUCGCAGCUACUAGUGUCCGGUCUUCAUUCUUUAGUAGGUGUUUAGUAGCCACUUGAUGCCUAAAGGGUCGAUCAUGUUUUACUGACGAGUCGAUCUUUUACUUUAUGUUUAUUUUUACAGACUAUGAAAACGUUUAUGUUAAUGUUGCCAAUGUUGGGCAUUUUAAAUUGAUAAUAUUAUGUAUGAGAUUAUGAAGAUGGCUCGAAAGCCUACAUGGACACCCGAGGGUGUUGUUGAUAGUAAAUGUCAAUGUGCACCAUGAUAGUCUCACUUUUCAUAUAUAUAUAUAUGUAUACCAAAUGCUUGAGCUUAUACAAUUAAGUUGAAAAGUUCCUUAAUUGUAAAAUGAGUUUUAUGACUACAUGCAUUAUGGUUUUGUUUGUAAAUGGGUGUUAUACGAUGCUUCUGCAUGUAAUGAGGAAUUGUUUAAUGAGGUUAUGGUAAAAGGCUUGCUUAAGCCUAACAAGUUAUGCUCGUCUGGGUCCAUGUGCCGGUCACGAUCCCUCCUAGAAUUAGGAUGUGACUCUAUGGCCUAUUUAUCUUCACAUGGUAUACAAAUGGGUGAGUACUAUAACACUCAGUGAGUGGUGAACAUAAACAAAAUCAUAUAUGUUUAUAUAAAAUACACACACACACACACAUAUAUAUAUAUAAGUAAAAUAUAUGCACUUUUAGUGCAACUAGAUGUUCUAGGAAACAUCUCCUAAUGUAGAGCAUAUCAUUAUCCUUAAAUCUCCAAUAUGAGGGCAUAUCGUCAUCAUCAAUGUCUUCAAAGGUCAUCACACAUAUUGUUAGACUUACCUUCGAAGCUAAUCAAAGUUAUUCAAGUCAUUCUCCAUGGCACACUAUAGUUGUCGGAGUAUCACAUCAGAAUCAUAUCACAUUUAUCUAAGCCUCUCCAUGGCUAUCUCACAUCAUUAAUAAAUUAAAUCGAUGAGUGGUCCUCCCCUGGACACAGUCAGAUCACGCACGGUGGCCAAUCAGUGGAGAAUCAGAUUAUGCUCAGGGCAAAGUUGCUAACGGAGAAAAGGAUCACGCAUUUGUCAAAGCAAUAGUAAGAGAACAGAUCACUCACAAUGCCAAAGUAGUUGGUGAAGAACAAAUCAUCGAUCGAAGUAAACUCCUGAUGUCGGCAUCACUCGAAGUAAUAUCAACGAUGGCAUCAAAGCACUGCAGGUGGGAAUCACAGGUGGGAUUAGUGCCAUUGUCCUUGCUUACCACCAUUUCUAUAGGCACACAAAUAGUCACAGAGGGGUAGAAAUCCACUCAACUACAAAUCAGAUCAACGUUCGAAAUUCAUUCCACGAAUGGAACACAAAACCACAAACAAGGCUCUCAUACCUUUAUCAUUACAUCUUUCCUUUCCAAACCACAAAUCACAUUUGUUGAGCUUCAAUUGUCUUAAGCUUGGUAAAGUUCUAAUGGCCUCUAAGUCCCAUGGCAUUAUUCAAUCAAUUCAUCUCAACAUAUCAUUCACCUAGGGUAAUCUACUCCCAAAGGUUCAUCAUAGCCUCCAGAUGUCCUAGUCUAGGCACACAUAGCGUAGGCCACCCAUGUGGUUCACAUCACAAUGCAAUCACAUACAAUUCACCUAUAUACAAAUACACAUAUUGUCACGACCUAAAUCUCGGGCCAUGACCGGCGCAUGGGCCCAAUGGACGUAGUCCACUAAGCCAAAGCACGCCUAUUAAUAUAACCUUUUUACCAUUCCAUUAAAAGUUGCUAAGUCACAUUUUAUAACUUUGAAUCAAAAUAAUAUUAAACAUUGCCAUCUCAUAGUGGCAUACCAAUCAAGUGUACAUUAUCUACAACAUGUAUCUUAAUAAUUUGCAUCAAGUUUGUCUAUACAUCUCAAAAAGAAAACUCGAUUCCCAACGGAGACACCCGAGUGAUGUAUGGCUACUGAAUGCCGAGAUACCUACUAAGGAAACGAAUCUACAAGGGCACCUUGACCUAAUUACCGACUGCCUCUUGAUCUGAAAACAUGAAGUUGAAAACAGUGAGUAUAAACCCAGUGAGUGAACAAGAAAGGGAAAAAGCAUACCAUAAGGAAUGUUUAAUGAAAUCAUGAUGCAUUCAUUUUUCAAAACAAAGCAAUUUAUUUUUGUUCUUAUUAAACCCUUCAUGUAAACCCCACAUGAGAAAAAUAUCACUUAUUUAAAAGAGUCCAUGCUCAACAAAGGAUUUGGAGAGUGAAACUUUAAUAGCAUUCAUACGAAUCAAGUCAAAUAAAUGACGGGUCUUCGUUGUAGCGGAAAGGCAUUAUCGCUGCAGCGAGAAUGAAUUUUUGCUGUAGUGACACUGAACUUAAAUUAUCAUCUAGCCGAGGGUUUCUCACCAAACCUCCUCGUUUUAAACUUAAUUCAUUUAUUCUUUAAUGUUGGAAGUCCAUGCUCAAUUAUGGUACCAAAGAAAUGGAAAAUAGGGCAGCAAUCGAAUCAAAUGAGGAGUAAAACAAAAAGUUUUUCGUUGCAACGAAAUUCAUUCUCGCUGCAGUAAAAUUUCUAGUCUCAAACAGAAAGUUUCUCGCUACAGCGAGAAGCUACAGUAACAUUCUCACUGCAACGAGAUUACGGCCAGCACCACCCCUCCAAACUUGAGAGUUUUUCGCUGUAGCGAGAAACAGAGCACUAGCAAAAAUUCCCCCAUUCCCUCAAGCAAAGGCCACCCUGUUGACAUGACCAACACAACAUGAAACUCAUAUAAUUUCCCAAAGUUUAACAUGUCAAAUUUCACAUGCAUUUCAACCAUUUACAUAUUCAUGAACUUUCUAUAACACACAUAUCUAUACAUGUAUAUAUAUAUAUAUUCAUCAUCAAACACACUCUCCCAUCGUCAUAAGCUCAUGUGCACUCCCCACUAGCACAUGACUGGGUCAUCAUCGGCUUAUGUACACUUCUACUUGCACAUAGCCGGGUCCACAUCAACAUACAAAGAAGCACCCAAUGCAUAUCAUGCAUAUUAUCAUAUUGUGAUAACACAUAAACCAUUGUAUAGCACAUUUUCACAAUAUAAAAUCUCUUCACCAAAAGCUUGUUCCCAAGGUACAUUUUGAAAGGAAAAAUGGAUAAAAUCUUUCAAAUGUUUGUACAAUUGCAUUCAUAUUCCCAAAACAAAUUUUUGAAAUGCAAGUCCACUCACCGAUAUUGUUGAGCCUUUAACCGACUCUAACUUCACUAAUGGUCCAAUUGGGAUGGUGUGGCUUCUUUGGAACCUAUCAUCACAUUAACAUCACCAUUAAUUCAAGCCACAUACUUACAAAUUCUAAAAGUGAUCUCUUAGUUAGCUUUCAAUUGCCAUUUAAAUGGCUAUCCAUUUUCACAAUCCUAUCACUUUAAAGUGAAUUAACAAUCUCAACUACAAAAUAUUCACAAAUUCAAAUCUCUAAUCAUUCUCAACACUAAAAUUUCAACUCUAAUUUACUACUCACUUUAAUAGCUUUGAAACUUUGAAAUUCUUUCCAACAAUUCUCCAAACUAUUGUAAAGCUUCCUCUUUCUCUCUCUAAAACACCUAACUAGUGAGAGAGUGUAUGGACACAAGAUUUUUUUUUCAAAGGUUUUAAAGUGAGAGAAUGGAAGAGCACAAGGGUUUAUGGAAAGGGUGCACCAAAAGCAUGAAAUUUGGAGCUAGAGAGAGAAAGUUAUGAAAAUUUCAUAUCAAGCUUCCAUGGAGGAUGGAAGCAACGUGAGAUGGAAGAAGAAGAAGAAGAAAAGCUGCUAGAGAAUGUAGAAGCUGCUGGAAGGAAGAGAUAUUUAUAGCCCAUGCUUAUUCACUCCACUUAAAUUACCAAAAUGCCCCUCCACAAAUUAGCUUAUUCUCCUCUAAUCUUUUAUGCAAUCCUUUUACUCUUUCGACACUGGGACAAAGUCCAUAAUGGUCUAGAAAUGCUUGGGUUCAUGAAAACUUAAAAAUUCUAACUCGAGGUGAAAAAUGGCCAUUUUACCCCUACCGUGAAAAUCAUUAAAAUUUUUGUUUCCUUGUCAUUUUACCCAUAUUUUCAUCAUUCAUUUAUGCCUUAGGCCUACUUAGGCCAUAAUAUUGUUUAAAAUCUUACUUUUAUUGGCUCACUAAGGAAAUGAUGAAAUUACCCCUGAUAAGGGAUAUCGUGUAUAUUACUAACUAUGAGUCUAUAAAAGUCAAGGUCUCACACAUAUAUUGUUCUCUAGCCUAGGUUCAUUCGUCUAAACAUACAUAUUUCAUUCUAAUACCAUGGCAGCGCACUUAUAGUGCGUUAUGCAUUACGUGCAUUUAACUUAAAUCCCACACACUUAGCCUCCGACCAUCGUCUAGCUUGCUAAUGAGUCAAUUUAACUCUAUUUCCCCCUUUAAACAGAUCAGACCAUCAAAAGACUAAUUAUUCCUAGCUUUCAAAAAAUACCAACUUUUCACACAAUGAACUACAUCUUAGCAAUCCAACUAUUUAAGCUUAAAUCCUUCAUUAAUGAGCUAAACCCAUACCUUAGAAGUUAGAUUGCAUGAGUUUUAGCUCAAAAUUCCCAAUCCAAGCCAAGGAGGGAAAAAUACCAAAUCUGGAGAAAAGUCAAAUUCAAAGUUAUUAACUAAUUUAAUUAGAAAAUAAUUAGUUAAAAACGUUAAAUCUUACCUCCAUAAUGGUUUUCAAAGCUCAAAAUAGCUUCAAACUGCUUAGAAAUUCAAUUUGGAGGGUUAAGGUCUCGAACUUUUUAGAGAAAGGAAGAGAAAGCUGAGAGAAAGAGUUGGGUGAUAUGGCCUGAAAUCCCUUUUUAUUUUUGCCUUUCCUCUUUGAUGUAUCAAUAAAUUUAGGCAAUGUAUCGAUCCAUUUGCCCUAAUUUCAAAUGAAUGUAUUGAUAUAUUGGGGAAAUGUAUUGAUACUUUUCCCCAUGGGUGCUCUCUGCUUCAAAUGUAUCGAUAUAUUUGGACAAUGUAUCUAUACAUGUUCAUAUUUGGCCAAAUCUAUACAUUCUCAAAUGUGUGAUACAAUAUUCUUCCUUAGGUCUUUGUUGUUCAUCUUGCCAUGUAUGCAUCGAUACAUUAGGGUAUGUAUCGAUAGUUUCACCUCUGUAGGUGUUUCUAAACUUCCCAAAAGCUUCAAAAAUCUAAGUUUAACACUCCAAUAGUAUUCUCGAUUGAUAUUGCACCUCAAAUCAUUCAUUUAAAUUAAUCCCAUACUCAUAAACCCACAAACAUAAUAUCAAACUUAAAUCAAAACCUCAAAUUAUGAGAUUCAUCACAUAUUUCCUCAAAUUUGUCUAAGUGCCAAUAUGUACACUCUUAAACACUAGGCAUACAUAUCCCAUCAUCAAAGUCCUUAAGAUUCCACAUAUUUUAAAAAUCGUUCUUAGUUUACAUAAAAUAUGGAAGUGUUAUAGGCUCACACUGUUCAAAAGGGACAUUGGGAUAAAUGGAGCAGUUUUAAUGAAUUUGAUGCCUUAAUCCAUUUGAUUGGUGAAGAAUCUAUUGUACAAACAUUGUGAGAGGUAACUCAUUCGCUAAUGUUGGAAAUUACGCAUGUGUUCUUUCAUAUGGUUUAUUUGUAACAUUAUUUUGUUUCAUAGUUUGUUAGUUUAUUAGUGGUAUUACUAUAAAUAAUGUCUACUUUACACAUGCUUAAAUAUCUUGAAGAGUGACUCAAUUACUUAACUCUCAUAAUCAAAAAUAUAAAAAAAUUCCUCAAUUCUUUUUUCUCUUCCACUUUCAUCAUGGUAUCAGAGCCAAAUUUUGACCUAUUUAGUUGGCUUUUUCACAAUAUUGAGUCAAUUCUUGCUUUUUAUCUUUGCUUUUCUUCAAAAUUUGUUGUUGAUUUCCUUGUUUUCUUACUAAAUCUUGUUAUUUUUAUAAUGGUCAGACCUAUGAUUCUAGAAACCUUACUUCUUCCAUCAUAGGAUCCUCAAUCACCUUACUUUCUUCAUUAUUAUGAUCAUUGAAAGUCAAUAGUCAAUAUAUCAUAAGUUAAACUCAGUGAAUUAUGCCUCAUAGAGUUUAUAGUUCUUAUUUGCUUUGUCAAUUUGAAACAAAUACAAAUUUACUGAUGGAUCAAUUAAGGAACCAAAAGCCAUGGAUAAGUUAUAUGUAUCUUGGAUUUGUUGCAAUAAUUUGAUACUUGCAUGGUUGGUUGAAUCAAUUUCACCUCCAAUUGUUUCUACAAUUUUCUACAUUAAUUCUACCUAUCAAAAUUGGAAGACUCUGAAAAAGACGUUUUCUCAACUUGACAAUGUGCACUUUUAGUUCACUUUUUCAACUAUUAGUCAAGGUAUGUAAACUAUUGGUGCUUACUUCACUAAGCUUAAUGCUACCUUGGUGUGAUUGUGGUUAAUGAAGCACGCUUCAAAAGUAUAUUAGUCAAUAUGAAAGGAUAUUGUCUUCAAAUUUCUUAAUGGACUUAAUGAGUCAUAUGCUACAUCGAGAUCUCAACUUGUACUUAUGAAGUCGAUUCUUACUUUUGAUGAGGUGUACAAUUUCAUUCUUAAAGAGAAAACUCAUAGAUGAAUUUCUCAUGCUAAGCCUUUUCAUGAUGCCUUUACUAUGACUAGUGUGAUAGAUGGAAAGAAGAGAAAUCUAAUCCGAUUUGUUCACACUGUGAUAAAAUUGGUCAUCUCCGACAAAAAUGUUAUAAGCUAGUUUGUUUCCCGUCCAAUUUUAAGUUUACUAAAAGGAAAACUAAUAAGAAAGUGUCACUAAAUGGAUAUCAUGCUAACGAUAUGGUGGCAAUUGUGCAAAAUGAUUAAUGUGAAGAAUUUGCUAAUGUUGUUAUUCCUAAUUUUUCCUAACAAGAAAUGAGUUUUAAAAAUGAUGGUUCUUCUCAAAGAUCAAACAACUAAAUGUGCUAAUGAUCCACUUUCAAUCAAUCCAAAUACCAAUAUUGGCAUGGAUUCUAAUUAGCAUGGUCCUUCAAUUGUUAACUCUACACUAGUACGUAUAAUAACCAGUUCAUUUUAUUCACAAAGUAAAAUGUUAAAUAGAUUUUAAUUCAUGUUUGAUUGCAAUAUCUAUAUAGUUCAAGUUUAAUCUGAUUUUAAUGGGAAAACUUUCAAAACAAAAUCACAUUUUUUAACAUUCACUAAUAUUCUAUCAUGAACCAAAUUUGAGGACCAUGACCAGAGUGAAGGUAUCAAUGGGAGUGACCCUCUUAACCCCUGCAAGUCUAAAAUGAACAAAUAAAUCAAAUACUCGAAAUUACCUUACAAGGUUAAUCACUAAGGAACUGUAUAUCAAACAUGCAUGAACAUAUUAUAUCGCAUAGGAAUGUCAUAUUAAUUUGCACUUCAUGUGCUCAAAAUGCAAAAGCAACACAUAUUAAAGUAACACGUGUAGGUCGUCCUGUGGCAAAUACAAAGUGCAGCCAUCCCAUGGCAAAUUUCAAAAUACAUGUCUUCCAAUACAAGACAUAAGCAAAAUUUUAUCCACAAUAGUCAAAUGUAAAUGACCAAAUCAAGUAGGACUAGUGAAGUACGACUUGAAACUAAAGGGUUUACGCUUACUAGAUGCCAUAUGUUCACCUACCCAAAAUUGACUGAAGUAAUGGCUCUUCCCAAAGGAUAAUGAGCCAAGCAGUUACUAAUCCGCAAAAACAAAUGCAUCUUACAUGUGUAAGUUAUAGAUACCAUUGUGAGUAGAUACGGGGAAAGGGAACAAACUAAAUGAGAAAGUGUUUGUCAAAAAUACUUUUAAAAAAUAAUGCCAAUAAUCCAUUUCAAACAAUAUCAAAGUUUUCCUUUCAACCAUAACAAAUGUUCAUAGAUUUUGGGAAUUCAAUCCCCACACAAAAUUAAACAUCCCAUGGUGUGACUUAUGUGUCAAGUCUGAUCAAUUAUACAAGAAAUCUCAUAUCAUUAUCUUGACGAAUAUAAACUCAUUUAAAAUGAUUUUAUAAGGUUUUGUUGACAACCUAUUCAUAAGCCUUUGAAAUGAGAAUAAUAGUUUGUAAAACGUUCAAAUAUUUCCAAGAAAACAAUUAAUAAAUAUCAAGUUUAAAAGUUUUUGUAGAAGAUGUUGAGGAAAACAAAGGUUUAGUUUAAAAAAUACAAUAAUGUCAAUACCUUUAGAAAACUCUUGAAGAAAACUACUAGAUUUUAAAAAUAACAUAAUCUACACUAAAUUGAAUAAAUCAUGUCUAAACACCAAAAUCGAGGUAAAUAUCCAAUCCAAAGAUCAAGGUCGAAACUAAUACCAAAUCCAAAGGUAGAAUUGAAACAAAUAGCAAAAUCGAGCACCAAGUUUGAAACAAUUGUUAAAUCCAAAGACCAAAGUCUAAACAAAUACCAAAUCCAAAGUUCGAAGUUGAAACAAUAUAAAUUUCAAAGUACAAAAUUGAAACAAAUAUUAAAUCCCAAUUCUAUAGUAUCAAAUAUCAUUUUAAAUAGGCGCACUAGAUAGCAUGGACAAUCAAAUCAAAGUGUGCCAUAAAACCAAAGUGGUUGGAUACAUGUGGUCAUUAACCGUACAUCAAAGGAGGUAUGAUUGUAUCAAUUACCAAACGAAACCAAAUCAAAAAGGGUAAGACUCCGUUACCUAUCCAAUCAAAGCUAAGCAUUGUGCACAAUGACUAGUGGCUGCUAUCACUAGCUAAAGGUCCAUAACGCAAGUAGGCUCCACUAAAACUUUUUGUUUUAUAUUUCCAAUUAUUCAAAUGUUUGUUUUCAAGUGAAAAGGUGAAUCCAUUCACCAUCUAAGAUCAAAGGGUUCAAAACAAAAUGCAGUCAAAAUGUCUAAAGUCCAUUUCCAAACAAAGGAUGACUUCAAUCACCAACACAAUAGAAGUUUUAAGUAAAGAAUAAAUCAAAGUUAUCACUCUCAAAGACAGAUUGACCCAUGCUAGGGUUUAUGGAAGAGUAUUCAUUUUUUUUUCACUCCAAGUUUCUAAAUCAUCAAUCAUCUAAAUAACCAUAGACAUACUAAUUUUGAGGCAUCAAACAUUUGAAAGGCUUGUUCCCCAUGCUCAAAACCAAAUACAUAAUAACAUAUUUACAUAGUAUACAUAGAUUUCAUGAAACAAACUUGAAACCGUUCUUCACAUCACAAAGUUCAUCAAAAUACAUUUUAAUGAAAGGUUGUAGAAUAGGCAUGCUUAAUUAUAUCAAAAUAAUUAAACACAUCUACCCACUUCUUACAGCAUGCCUUUUCUUCUUAUCAUCUUUUGUUGAAAGCUCAACUUCUUCAACAAACUCAAAAUACUCCAAUAGCAUCUGAAUGAUGUUUAAUCAUCAAUAUUCUCAAAUACCCAUAAUAAUUUCAUAAUACCUUGAAUACCCAUGUCACAACCCGGUACUCUCCUCGAGCUCGUAACAAUCGCCACGAUGUCUCGAUAGACAUUCAUUACCCGGAAUGCCAAUCGAAACCCCGCAAGGCUUUAAUAUCAGUUUUCUCACCUCCCCUGCGAGCAACAGUUGUUAAUAUCAUAUUUUAAAAGAUUAUAAGCUAUUUCCAAACCAAAACAAUAAAAAAAAUAAUUUUCGUCUCACAGGGGUAUUUUGGUCAUUUUUCCUCAAAAAUUUUGAAACCAUCUAAAAAUGUAGUAUAUGAGUGAAAGAUACAUAUUUCAUAACUAAAAAUAAAUUUAGAUGUCUAAAACAUUCAUUUAAAGUGAAAUGAUAGCUAUUAAAAUAAAGUAAAAAUAUUAAAUAAAAUAUUCUAUUUUCUUAUAAAAUAAUAUUUAUAGAGAUAUCCGUAAAUAAUUUUUGUAAUGUAAAAGCAAAAUAAAUUCGUACAUACAGUAACACAGAUAACUAGAGUAUAUAAUUUAAUUUACAAUGACGUGUGGGCCCCUGAAUGACCAAAAGUAACGAAGGCUGCGAACUUACGAUUUUUAAGAAUGCAAAUCCAACUGUAGCCCUCGAUGAAAUCAGCUAUCUACAGACUAACCUGAGCUUGAAAUGGGUGGAAAGGAGGGUGGUGAGUUUAUAUAAACUCAGUGACUAAACAAACAUCAUCUAAAAUAUCUAAAGCCGAGUAAAUGGAGACAACUUAAAAUAGUUUAUCGUACGAUGAUUCAUAACGUUUCAAACUCAUUUCAACUAAAUAAAAUAAAUUCAUUUCACUCAAUUAAUCAACAUGGCUUAUGAAUUUCAUAAAAAUUUGGCUCGUGCCAAAACUUAUUCUCAAGGAUACCUUGGCUGAGGCAUCUAACCGAGUCUGCCAAGGCUAUUAAAGAAUAGUUCAUAUACGCAUAAAACACAUUUCUUUUCGUUUAAAAGCAUAGUCGUUCCUUGGCGUUGGCUGAGUUCACUCUCACGUGAUGUUUAGCGUGUAGUGAACUCUAAAGCUUUACCUUAGGAGAUACCCUCCGCGCCUCUGGUACUAAAGUAAAUAUAAAGGGGUUUACUGUUCCCCUCUAAUAGGCUGGUCCAUAGAAACCCGCCCAUUGCAGUAAGCUAAUCGAUAUCCCACCAAAUCAAUAAAAUUCCAAUAGCAUGACGUGGCAAUUAUUUUACAACAUAGCAUGUCAAGGCAAAACAACAGUUCAUAUAUGUUUAGCAUAAUUACCAAUCCAGCCACUCAUGCCCACAUUAUCAUAAGCCAUUCAAUUCAAACGAUGAUUUAUAACACAACAAAUAGUCUCCAAUUACUCCAUUCUCCAAGCCAUCAUUCAAUUUCAAGACAAUUUUAUAAAAUCAUUUCGUUUAAUCACAUUUUGCUUAUAUAAACAUAAAGAUUUACCAUUUAAACUCAUUUUUCUAUAAAAUCACAAAAACGAAUAAAAACUACUUUAGAUAAUUAAGACGAUAAUAAGGUUACUCACAAUAUCAGGAGUUGAGGUACUCAUAGUCCCGGUCUUCGGGUACAAUCGCCUCACCCUUAUCGAAAGUUUCACCACCUAGACAUAAUGCACAACAAGCAAUUUACUGUAUUUGUGAUAAACUGUUAUAAAACUAAUUUAGGCUCUAUAUGAAUGCAUGAAAUGGGAUGUGAAAUGUUUGAAUUAUUAUCUAAAUACGGUGUUCUAUGUAGGUUUAAUUGUGCAUGGGGCUGAAAUGGUAUUGACCUAAUUCACACUAUACACAGGUUAAUUGGCCAAAAUAUCCAAUUCAACUCUAAAUAAAUUCAUUUCACUUUCAAUACUCCAAAUCAUCAAAUAUAAGCUAGAUAACAUGAAUCAUCCUCAACAUUUUCUCUUGGAAAAUUCGGCCAUGGUGGGUGCAUAAACACUAUGGUUUUUCAUGCUUGAUUUUUACACCAUAAAUCAUUAAUUCCUAACCAAAUCACUUGAAAUAAAAUCAAAUCCACCAUCAACAUACUAUAAGGAAGAUUCGGCCAAUAAGGGUGAUGGAAGAACAUGAAUUUUUCCUGUUUGCUUUUCAAGCUACACAUCACCAACCAACUAAAAACACUAGAAUAACAUGUUUUCUAGCUAAAUCCAAGAUCAAAACCCCUCCCCCCAUGUCUGGCCAACAAAGGUAUCUUCAUGCAAACUUGAUUCUCAACCAUGGAAAAUGAAAAAUAAUGCAUAGGAAAGGUAGAUCACAGGCUAAAAUCAAGAAAUUUUACCUUUUGUCACUUGAUUCCUUGAAAUCCACCAAUUUUUCCUUGAAUUUUUGCUUACUAGGGUUUGUUCUUUCUUUCUUUCCUCUUUUCCUUAGGGAGGUCGAACAUAUGGGAGUGAAAUGAGUGAGUCAUGUUGUCAAGCCUGGCUCUACAAUAUGUUUAUUAUGCCAUUCCUACAUAAGAAUGUAUGUUUGCUUACUUGGGUACCUCGAAAAUAGUUAAAGGACGGUAAUAUACCAAAUGGUACAAUUAGGUUGAAUUAAGCCUCGAUAUAGUCCAAAUAGAGAUUUUAAGAUGAAAUUGAGAAUUUUAAAACCCCAGAAUGACUUAAAAUGAUGAUUCAGAGCUCGGGGGCCGACUUGGAGUCAAAUUUGAAUUUUCAUGACUUAGGGGUAAAAUGGUCAUUUUGCUACCCGAGGUUAAGAUGUGAGUGUUGGAUGAAAUUUUUCACUAAGAUUGAUCAUUUGAAGUAUAAUUUGAGUUUGAGAAGUGAAGAAUUUUAAUUUCGACGUUUUUUCGAGAAUAAAGGCAAAAUAGUCAUUUUGCCACCUUAGGGGCAAAAUUGUAAUUUUACACCACCCAACACUUGUCAUGCCCAUGGAUUUCAGCCAUUAGCAUUUUAUAUCAUGGAUAAUUGAAAGGUUUUAUGUGGUGGUGGAAGAAAGCUUAAUUAUUAAGUUUUUAAACAUGGACUAAUAACAUGUGACAAGUGUCAAGCUUGGAUUAUAUUAUUAUUUGGCUUUAAAAAUCAGCCCAUAACCCUCGCAACUCAUUUAUCUUGGUCGGCCAAUGAGAGAAAAAGAGAAAAAAGGAAGAACAAAAACCUUAGAGAGAAAAAUUCAAAGGGAAAUUGUUGAUUUUCAAGGAAUCAACUCAUUAAAGUUAAAAUUUCUUAAUUCUAGCUUGUGAUCUACCUUUCCUAUGCAUUAUUUUGCAUUUUUCAUGGUUCAAUCACAAGAUAUCAUGAAGGACAGUGUGUUGAUCAAACCUUAGGAGAGAGAAUUUGAUGAUGAAUUUAGUUAGAAAACAUGUUAUUCUAGUGUUUGUAGUUGUUUAGUGAUGUGUAAUAUGAAAAGCAAGCAAGAAAAAUUCAUGUUCUUACAUCACAUUCAUUGGCUGAAUUUGAUUGAAUUUCAAGUGAUUUGAUUUGAAAUGAAUGAUUUAUAGUGUGAGAAUUAAGCAUGAAAAAUUAUAUUGUUAGUGCACUCACCAUGGUCGAAUUUUUCAAGAGAAAAUGUGAGGAUGAUUUUUCCACAUUUCAAGUUAUUUAAAUUGUGUUUAAUUAUUUGGAGUAUUGGGAGAGAAAUGGAAUUGUUUGGAGUUGAAUUGGACGUAUUGGCCAAUUAAUCGGGUGAUAGAUCGAAUUAGGCCAAUACCAUUUUAUUUAGGUACAUAAUUGAAUUUAUAUUGAACACCGUAUUUAGAUAGUUACCCAAGUAUUUCACAUCCCAUUUCAUGCAUUAGUAUAAAGCCUGAAUUGGUUUUACAACGGUUUAGCACAAAUGUAGCAAAUUGCUUAUUAUGCAUUAUGUUUAGGUGGUGAGCAUUCUAGCAAAAGUAAAAAGGUAGUAUCCGAGGAUCAAGAAUCAGAGUAUCUCGAAUUCGAUUCCCAUUACAGUGAGUAACCUUAUUAUCGUUUUAAUUAUCUAAAGUAUGUUUUUAUCCGAUUUUGUAAUUUUAUGAAAAAUGUGUUUAAAUGAAAUGAUUUUAUAAAUUGUUUUGAAAUUUAAAGAUGACUUGGAAAUGGAGUAAUUGGAGACUACUUACUGUAUUCUAAAUUAUGUUUUGAAUUGAAUGGCUUAUGAUAAUGUGGGCAUGAAUGGCUGGAUGGGUAUUUGUGUUGAAAAUGCAUAAAUUGUUGUUUUCCUUGAUAGGCUGGAUAAUGAUAAAAUUGCCAUGUCAUGUUGUUGAAUUUUACUGAAUUGGUGGGUUAUAGAUUGGUCACUGUAGUGGCGGGUUUUGUGGACCAGCCUAUUAGAGGGGCACGAAAUCCAGGUAUAUUCUUACCUCGAUCGAAGAGGCGCGUAGGCUAACUCCUGAGGUAAAACUUUAGAGUUCACUUCACUCUGAACCACCACGUGAGGGUGAACUCAGCCAAUUCCAAGGAAUGGCUAUGUUUUCAAAAUAAAAACAUGAUUUAUGCGUACAUGACUUUUUAACAGCCUUGGCGAAUUCGGUUGGGAUAGCCCCAGGCCAAGGUAUCCCUAGCAACAGAGAAUGAGCAUGAUUUUGGCACGAGCCAAGCUUUUUAGGAAAUCAUAAGCCUCGUUGUUUAUUUGGGUUAGAUGAAUCUAUUUUAUCUUAUUAAAAUGAGUUCGAAAUGCUAUGAAUCAUUUUUAUGCUAAUCUAUUUUAUCUGUCUCCAUUUACUCAACUUUAGAUAUUUUAGAUGAUAUUUGUUUACUCACUGGGAUUAUAUAAUCUCACCACCCUCCUUUCCACCCAUUUCAGGCUCAGGAUAGUCGGUAGAUAGCUCAUUUAGUUGAGGGCUACAGUUGGACUUGCAUCCUCAAAAACUGUAGGUUCACAGCCUUCAUUACUUUUAGUCAUUCAGGGGCCCACAUGUCAUUGUUAAAUGUUUUGAAUACCUGGCUGCGUGUGCCAUUGCAUGUAGGAAUUUAUUUUGGUUUUACGCUGUAAAAAUUAUUUACGUAACGUUCUAUAAAAAUUGUUUUAUGAAAAAUUGGAAUAUUUUAUUCAUUAUUUUUAUUUUAUUCCAUUAGCUAUAAUUUCACUUUAAAUCAAUGUUUUAGAUAUCUAAACUUAUUUUCGAUUAUGAAAUGUGUAAAUUUCUCUCAUAUACUACAUUUUAGCUAGUUUCAAAAUUUUUGAAAAAAAUGACCAAAAUAUCCCUGUGUAGUUGAAAUUUUCUUUGACUGUUUUUGAAUUGAAAUUGGUUCAUAUCACUUUAAAACAUGAUUUUAGUAACUAACACUCACAGGGGAAGCGAGAAAACUGAUGUUAAGCCUUGUGAGGUUUCGAUUAGUAUUCCGGGUAAUGAAUGUCUAUCGGGACAUCACAGUUGUUGUCACGGGCUCUAUGGGAGUUUCUGGUCGUGACAAUUUAGGUGGUAUGAAAGCUUUUGGUUUUAAAGAUCAGAGCUUUUGGGUUUAAAGUUGUUUUAAAAUUUAUAGUGUUAGUGUGACCCCGAGUUAAGUUAGGUUAGACUGAAUAGAGUGCAUGUAUUUGCAUGUAGAGCCUGAGGUUGUUUAAACUUGCCUUAUUUCUUCUUAUAAGUUGUCAUGCCUCCUCAAUGUGAACACCCACCUCUCACUAGAUCGGCUGGGAGAGGAAGAGGUCAUUCUCAACAUCGUCAGCUAGAUCCUAUAAAAGGGGAAUCGGUUGCGUCUACUAUUUGGGCAGCACCUGCUACUGAGCAGACUGAGACUCCUCCACAUCCUCCACCUCUUCCGCCACCUACUAGUAUUCCUGCCAUGCCUCUUGAGGUAGUUCACGCAUUGGCAGCCUUCUUUACUGCUAUUGCUGGCCAGGCUCGUGCUGGUCAAGCUCUUCCUACAGUUCCUCCAGUUGCUCCUUUAGUACCACCACCCCCACCUUCUGUCCCACCAACAGUGCUAGAUGUUUCUAUUUCUAAAAAACUUAAAGAGGCUAGGCAACAUGGUUGCAUUUCUUUUAUGGGUGAGUCAGACGCAACCGUAGCUAAAGAGGUGGUGCAAAUGGCUUUAAGAUCUGAGAAGCUUGCGAAUGAAAAUAAGAGAGAUUGCCCACAAUUAGGACGGGCUACUGUAGCUGCUCCAUCUACACCAUCUUGUACGGAUAUGCAAAGGAGAGAUUCCUCUGGAUUACAACCAAGAUAGGGGUGAUUUUGACAUACCACCAGGGGUAGAUUAAAUAUGUUGAAAUUAGUGUUCUAAUAAAGUACAUAUGAUAGAAUGCUAGUUUUGUAAAUUGUAGUUUCCAUGAUCAUAAAACUCUUGAAUUAAUAAUAAGAUAAGCAUAAGAUGUUGAUUCAGGUGGAUUAAUUUCAUGAUGAUUUUAAGUUGAAGUGAUUGGACUAUAUGAGUUGUAAGACAAAGAAGACCAGUAGUUGUGAAUACUAAGGAAUUGUGGAACACUAGAAAACAACGAAUAAUUAUGUGUGUGGUGUCAUACGUAUAUGGUGAAGUCACUAUACAAUAUGGAAAGAGUAUUCUCAAGUGGGAUUUAUUGACUGAUGAUAAGUGAUGUGCAAUCUGAGAUACAUGUAGCUAUGAAUAAAUUUGGAGAUUUUUGCUUAAGCAAACUUGUACUAAAUGUUAUGGUAAAGAUAUAUGAAUGUUAGUGGCAAAAUAAAUACGUUAAAUCAAUGUUCUGAUCGCGCCCUUGUGAUAGAAAGUUAGUCUUGCUAAUUGUGGUAUAGACUCAGAGGGAAGCCACACGAUUGUGAAUAAUUGAGGUAGUAGCUUUAAAGGUGGAAGAGUUGCUGGGAUAAAGUGAAUUCAAACAGUUGCAACGCCACAGUACUGACUAUCAAAAGUUGUCACGUUAAGAACCCCUAAUGGCUAGAAAGCAUGAGCAAAUUGUGAGCGGCAUAAAGAUUGGACUCAUGAGUUGGAAAAUGGUCAUUGGUUUUGAUGUCAAGUUUCGUUAUUGGGAGUCUUACAUGCAUUGGUGGAGUGUUAAGAUGAAUAAUAUGUUGACUAAAGUCAAAUCUUAAGAAAUAAAGUAAAUCUUGUAAAAGGUUAAAGAGGAAGUGAGGGAAAGGUUAGAUGAAUGUAUGAGAUAUUGAUAAGAGAUGUCAAUACCAAGUGAUGAGAGUGUGAAUGAAGAUUUCAAGAAUGAUAAUCUUGUCUUGACUUUGUUGAAAGGAAAGGAUUAGUGACAACACAAGUAAACUACGUGGUAUGCUAGAAACCCUUGGAGAUAAGUUGAAGCAUGAGUAGUUAAGCAUGCAUUUAAAUAUUUUGGUGAGCAAGUGCAUGCCUUUAUGGAAAUGAUAUACUUGGAGCAUGAAAGAGAAAAGAAGUGAUUAAGUGUUUCAAGGAUGUUUAAACACCUUUGAGAAAGAAUUAUAAAUUAUACGAGAUGAGUAUAAGAUGUGUGAUUUUGACACUUGCUAAGGAGCCAAACGGCUAAGUCACGAGUUAAGUGAUCACCUACUAUGAGACAUAAGUUUAAGAUAGAUAUCCCCAAGGAAAUACUCAAGAGAAGUUCUACCAUGGAUCUCGUGAAAGCAAGCACUAAGUUAUAUGGUUAUAAAAAGAAAGCUGUAUGCUGAGAGUGAUAUUAGUAUUAAUAUUGAAAAGUACUUGAGGAGAAUCUAGUUUCAAGUCUUGCAAUUUCAAGUACAGUUUGUAAAUUGGUUAAGGAAGAAUGAUGUUAUAUUCGUAUAAAAGAGUGGAACAAAGGAUGAUUAAAGUUGACCUUGAUAAUGAAGUCAGAUAAUGAAACUUUCCUAAUAUAUUAUGGAAAUUGGAAUUCAAAAAUGCUUGAGGCAUACAUGAUUCAAAUGAGUCUGAGUUUUAAGUGACAAAUCAAUAUCGGAAUGCAAGAAGGAUACAAAGUAAUGUAGAGGCAUGAAGGAUAAUCGAGGAAAAAGGAUGACUCUUAGGAAUUGUGGUAUUGCAUAAGAUGUAAUGAUCAAAUUAAGAUAAAUCUUUGAGGCAUCAAUGGGAUUAUAAAGCAUACAUGCAUAAUAGAUUAUAAUUCAAUGGAGAUGAUAUUGUGAUGAAAUGAUAUAUAGUACAAGGAAACUUAAGCAUAUAAUUGGAAAUGAUAAGAAUAGAGUAUAAGUAUGUAAAUGAUGUGGAACUAUGCACAGGCAUGAUGAGAAUUUGUAUGAAUUAUGAAGAUUAUUCUAUUGAAUCUUGGUUAUGGAUGGGAAUGAACAAAGGGAAAUUAGUCUGAAGGCAUUUGAAAAUAGAGACUCAUAAACAUAAUGAGGAAUAUGGACAUUUGAAUGUGCGUGUAUACGUAUGUGUGGAGUUAGUGAUGUACCCAACUAAAAUGAAAAAUGGUUUUAGUGGUUUGAGAUUUGAACUCAAUAUAUUUGAUGAGUUGUAUAGAUAAUGUAAUGAUCAAGAAUCUUAUCAGAAGUUGAUUUAUGGUGACCUAAGGAAUUUUGGGGAAAUAGUUAAGGGAAUGUAAUCUAUAGUGCGAUUAAGCCAUAUGAGAUGGAUUAAUAGGAUUAAGAAGAUUGAAAUUUCCUAAAUGCAAGGUAAACAUGAAGUAUGUGGAAAUAAUUGAAGCCAUUAAUCUUCCCUAACACUGAAGAUAUGUACAGGAAUAAGUAUGGCAUGUUAAUGAUGCCGUAAACUACACAAUAGUGUACGAGGAUAGGAUGAAUGAAUGAAAGUUGAAAAGUUUGAUAUGGAAUGAAGUAAUAAGAUAGUGAUUGGUAUACCUAAAUAAGUAUAAAAUGCGAUCAAAAUUAGUAUGAUUGAGAUGGAGUUAUGGUUCAAGUUUAAUGAUAGUAAUAGAAGCAUGCUUGGUGUCUCGAUAUAAGAGAUCAUAAUUGUGAAGGUUACAGUUGAUCUAAUUUUAAAGGAUAAUAAUAGACAUAAGUAAAGUACUAGAGUUGAAUUGGAGGUAAAUGAGGUGAACAAAUCAAAAUUCCCUCUAAAGGGGAGGACAUAAGAAGUCGAGCAUUAAAUGAGAAAACAAUACCCCCACCUUUUCUCUAAGUUCGGUAAAUGAAAUUUUGAUGUCAAAAUUUUAUUUUAAAGGGGGUAGUGCUAUCAAGCCUGGCUCUACAAUAUGUUUAUUAUGUCAUUCCUACAUAAGAACGCGUGUUUGCUUACUUGGGUACCUCGAAAAUCGUUAAAGGACGACAAUAUACCAAAUGGUACAAUUAAGUUGAAUUAAGCCUCGAACUAGUCCAAAUAGAGAUUUUAAGAUGAAAUUGAGACUUUUAAAACCCCAAAAUGACUUAAAAUGAUGAUUUGGAGUUCGAAGACCGACUUGGAGUCAAAUUGAAAUUUUCAUGACCUAAGGGUAAAAUGGUCAUUUUGCCACCCGAGGUUAAGAUGUGAGUGUUGGAUGAAAUUUUUCACUAAGAUUGAUCAUUUGGAGUAUAAUUUGAGUUUGAGAAGUGAAGAAUUUUAAUUUCGGCAUUUUUUCGAGGAUAAAGGCAAAAUAGACGUUUUGCCACCUUAGGGGAAAAAUUGUAAUUUUACACCACCCAACACUUGUCAUGCCCAAGGAUUUCAGCCAUUAGAAUUUUAUAUCAUGGAUAAUUGAAGGAUUUUAUGUGGUGGUGGAAGAAAGCUUAGUUAUUAAGUUUUUAAACAUGGACCAAUAACAUGGUGACAAGUGUCAAGCUAGGAUUAUUUUAUUAUUUGGCUUCAAAAAUCAGCCCAUAACCCUCGCAACUCAUUUAUCUUGGUUGGCCAAAGAGAAAAAAGGAAGAACAAAAACCCUAGAGAGAAAAAUUCAAAGGGAAAUUGUUGAUUUUCAAGGAAUCAAGCCAUUAAAGGUAAAAUUUCUUAAUUCUAGCUUGUGAUCUACCUUCCCUAUGAAUUAUUUUGCAUUUGCCAUGGUUGAAUCACAAGAUAUCAUGAAGGAUAGUGUGCUGAUCGAACCUUAGGAGAGAUAAUUUGAUGAUGAAUUUAGUUAGAAAACAUGUUAUUCUAGUGUUUUUAGUUGUUUGGUGAUGUGUAGUAUGAAAAGCAAGCAAGAAAAAUUCAUGUUCUUACAUCACCUUCAUUGGCCGAAUAUUCCAUGUGGAAUGUUGAUGAUGAAUUUGAUUGAAUUUCAAGUGAUUUGAUAAGAAAUGAAUUAUUUAUAGUGUGAGAAUCAAGCAUGAAAAUUAUAUUGUUAGUGCACUCACCAUAGUCAAAUUUUUCAAGGGAAAGUGUGAGGAUGAUUUUGCCACAUUUCAAGUUAUUUAAAUUGUGUUUAAUGAUUUGGAGUAUUAGGAGAGAAAUGGAAUUGUUUGGAGUUUAAUUGGACAUAUUGGCCAAUUAAUCGGGUGAUAGAUCGAAUUAGGCCAAUACCAUUUUAUUUAGGUACAUAAUUGAAUUUCUAUUGAACACCGUAUUUAGAUAGUUACCCAAGUAUUUCACAUCCCAUUUCAUGCAUUAGUAUAAAGCCUGAAUUGGUUUUACAAUGAUUUAGCACAAAUGUAGCAAAUUGCUUAUUGUGCAUUAUGUCUAGGUGGUGAGCAUUCUGGCAAGAGUAAAGAGGUAGUAUCCGAGGAUCAAGAAUCAAAGUAUCCCGAAUUCGAUUCCCAUUACAGUGAAUAACCUUAUUAUCGUCUUAAUUGUCUAAAGUAUGUUUUUAUCCGAUUUUGUAAUUUUAUGGAAAAUGUGUUUAAAUGAAAUGAUUUUAUAAAUUGUUUUGAAAUUUAAAGAUGACUUGGAAAUGGAGUAAUUGGAGACUACUUGUUGUAUUAUAAAUUCUGUUUUGAAUUGAAUGGCCUAUGAUAAUGUGGGCAUGAAUGGCUGGAUGGGUAUUUGUGUUGAAAAUGUAUAAACUGUUGUUUUCCUUGAUAGGUUGGAUAAAGAUAAAAUUGCCAUGUCAUGCUGUUGAAUUUUAUUGAAUUGGUGGGUUAUAGAUUGGUCACUGCAGUGGAGGGUUCUGUGGACCAGCCUAUUAGAGGGGCACGAAAUUCGGGUAUAUUCUUACCUCGAUCGGAGAGGCGCGUAGGGUAACUCUUGAGGUAAAACUUUAGAGUUCACUUCACGCUGAACCACCACGUGAGGGUGAACUCAACCAACGCCAAGGAAUGGCUAUGUUUUCAAAAUAAAAAUAUGAGUUAUGCGUACAUGACUUUUUAACAGCCUUGGCGGAUUCGGUUGGGAUAGCCCCAAGCCAAGGUAUCUCUGACAACUGAGUAUGAGAAUGAUUUUGGCACGAGCCAAGCUUUUCAGGAAAUCAUAAGCCUCAUUGUUUAUUUGGGUGAAAUGAAUCUAUUUUAUAUUAUUAAAAUGAGUUCGAAAUGUUGUGAAUCAUUUUUAUGCUAAUCUAUUUUAUCUGUCUCCAUUUACUCAGCUUUAGAUAGUUUAGAUGAUAUUUGUUUACUCACUGGGAUUAUAUAAUCUCACCACCCUCCUUUCCACUCAUUUUAGGCUCAGGAUAGUUGGUAGAUAGCUCAUUUCGUUGAGGGCUACAGUUGGACUUGCAUCCUCAAAAACUGUAGGUUCACAGCCUUCAUUACUUUUAGUCAUUCGGGGGCCCACAUGUCAUUUUUAAAUAUUUUGAAUACCUAGCUGUGUGUGCCACUAUAUGUAGGAAUUUAUUUUGCUUUUACGCUGUAAAAAUUAUUUACGUAACGUUCUAUAAAAAUUGUUUUACGAAAAAUGGGAAUGUUUUAUUCGUUAUUUUUAUUUUAUUCCAUUAGCUAUAAUUUCACUUUAAAUCUUUGUUUUAGAUAUCUAAACUUAUUUUCGGUUAUGAAAUGAGUAAAUUUCUCUCAUAUACUACAUUUUAGCUUAUUUCGAAAGUUUUGAAAAAAAUGUCCAAAAUACUCCUAUGUAGUUGAAAUUUCUCUUUGACUGUUUUUGAAUUGAAAUUGGUUCAUAUCACUUUAAAACAUGAUUUUAGUAACUAAUACUCACAGGGGAAGCGAGAAAACUGAUGUUAAGCCUUGCGAGGUUUCAAUUGGCAUUUCGGGUAAUGAAUGUGUAUCGGGACAUCGCGACGGUUGUCACGGGCUAGAUGGGAGUUCCGAGUCGUGACACAUGUGCUAAUUUUUAAUGUAAAUUAUAAUGAAAUGAAAACUUGCCACUUGUCACCAUCCCAUUGGUCCAUGCAUAAAACUUAAUAAUUAGGCAUUCUCUCACCACCAUAAAUUAUCCAUGGACCAAAAUGAUGAUGGAUGAAGUUCAUGUAUUGGACAAGUGUCAUGGUGGUGCAAAUUCCAAUUUUGUUGUUGGGUGGCAAAAUGACCAUUUUGCCCUUACGUCAUGAAAAUUUCAAUUUGACUCUAAAUCAAUCCUCGAACUCCGGAUCACCAUAUUAAGUCAUUCUGGAGCUUUAAAAUUCUCAAUUUCAUCUUAAAAUCUCUAAUUGGACUAGUUCGAGGCUUAAUUCAACUUAGUUGUAUAACUAGGUUCACUAUCAACUUUUAACGAUUUUUCAGGGCUUUCCAAGUAUGCAAACAUAUUCUCAAGCACCUAAAUGACAUGGCAAAUAUUUUAUAGAGUUGGGCUUGACAACCCAUUUCUAACUCUAUUUAAUCUUCACUUAUUUCUAAUAAUUUCCAUUAAUCUUUCAUUCAAACACCAUACCCAUUAAGUAAACAACUUCUUUUACCUAUUCUUCCUCCUUGGUGAUCUUCUAGUAGAAAGAUCUAACCAAAUCUUGAAAACCUAGAAAAAGUUUCUAACUUUCAAAAAGAGAAAACAAAAAUAUCAAAAACAAGAUUUGAGAGUGAAAAUCCUUACCUUUAGCACUAAGAAUCCAAGGUUUCAUAAUGGAGUUGAAGGUCUUGAAAGAUGUGAAAUUUGACAAAAAGUGGGUGGAAGAACAAAGAGAUAUGAAAAAAAAAUGAGUGAGUUUCGGGUUUUAGGUACCAUUUUGCCAUUAGCUUGGUCAAAGCUUCCAAAUGAAGCUUUGACUCUUAUCUUCUUCUCCCAUGAUCGAUUCUUAUCCACCUAAAAGAUAUUUUCUUCUUCUUCAUGCUCCCACACCAUUUUCACCUUACCACCAUGGAAAUCAAUUUUUUCAUUUUCUUUUCCUUUCCUUUCUUUACUUGCUUCUUCCUUCUCCUACCUUAUUGUGCAGCAAAACCACAAUGUCUAACCCCAUUUUUCAACAUAGCUAAACCCUAGGAGAGAGAGAAAAAUCUCUCUCUCUUUCUUUUAUUUUUUAUUUCUACUCCACCUUCAUCAACACUUGAGUUUUCAGCUUCAAAUCUUCAUUUUUAAAGCCAAAAGGUAUAUAUUUCCAACUCUUGAAAUUUCUAAAUUUAUGGUUAUUUUUUCAUAUUUUAUUUCCUAAUUUCUUCAAAUUCUUUUUCUUAAAAAUAUUAGGUUUUUGUUGAUCUUUGUGCCUCUAAGCUCAUCAGCAUAAAGAAACCUUAAAUUUGAAUAGUCAAUUUAAUGGGUUUGUGAAUUAGACUAGAAUUCUAGAUUAAAUGUUAGGUUAAAAUGCAAUUUAGCUAGUUUUUAUUCAUUAGAAUUUUUAAGUUCAAAUUCAUGACUUAUUUAAGGCUAUCAUGGUUUAAUUGUAAAUAUAGGUUCUGAUGGUAUUUCAGGACUUACUUGGAUUAGGAUCUUGUGGGUGCUAAUUUUGUAAGGUGACAUUAUUAAGAUGAGUGAACUUGCAUUUAAAAGGUUUUGAACAAAUGCAUAUGUGUUGAAUGAAAUGCUAGAAUAUCCUUGGUUGACUUUUUUAAAAUUUAUGCAUAGGAACAAGCUUUUCACAAGUGAUACUUCUAUGUUUUUAAAAGUAAAAUGUGAUGAAUUACAUAUUUGAAAUAUUAUGUUGAGUUCCUAAUUGAAUUGUGGCAUGUGAUGUAUUGUUAUGCAAAGAUUCUUGUUACAUGUUGUUAUGUGUGCCAUGCAUGGAAAUGUAAUGUUGAAUGAUAAUUAUAACCGUCCGUGUGCUGUGUGGGAGUGCACAUGAUGGUGUCAGUAGUGUGUGGUGUGGGAGAGCACACACCGAUGAUAUAUGCAAUGUGUGGUGUAGGAGAGCACAUGAUGAUGAUAUUGCCAUGUGCGAUGUGGGAGAGCACAUGAUGAUGAUAUUUGCCAUCUGCGGUGUGGAAGUGCACAUGAGGAUAUUAGCUAAUGCAGUGUGGGAGCGCACACAAGCUGAGUUGAGGAUGGCAGUUGUAUGCAUUGAGCCAUGUUGUCUGGUUGGGAUUGACCUUGAUGUGUUUCAUGCAUAUUUGAAAUGUGAUUGCAUUGAAUGUUAAAAGUUGAAUUUCCUAAAUGAUUUAAAAGUCAACAUGGCAUCGAGUUUGUUUAUGAUAUACAAAUUGCAUGGUUUUGAUACAAGUGCAUCGUGUUUUCUAAAGAUCUUCCAUAUCGUUUUCUUGUUCCCUUCCUAUGUUUACUCACUGGGUUUAUACUCACUCUCUUCAAUUCAAGUUUUAGGUUUUCUGAUUUGGAGGUAAUUGGAUCCUAUGACGAGGUGCUCCUUCCUAUUCAUCUUUCAGUAGGUCAUAAUGACACUCAACGUUAGUACCACACCCAGAGUGACUCCGCUGGUAGUCAGGGUCCUUCUGUGUGUGUGUGUGUGUAUGGAUGUUUAAUUGUAAACGGUGAUAUUUAUUAUAGACCUUUUAUGUUUGGCUUAUUUAGUGAUGUCAUUUAGGGUUGACAAAUGAUAACCCUAUUUUGAGAAUAGUAUAUACUUUGUUUUUAUGAUUUAUUUUUGAACAAAUUAUUAAGAAAUUAUGAAUUUUAGAACUUAAAGUAAGAGAGGUGAUAGAUGGUCUAAUGAACAGGUUAACAUAGAGAAGCUUGCUUGGGUCUGGUGGGCUAUGCCUAUUGGGCCUAUGCACCAAUCAUGGCCUAAGUUUUGGGCUGUGACACAAACUCUCAAAACCCUAAGUCUGAAACUGCCCAAAAUCGAUGGCCAAAUCCAUAUUACCAGUGAUAUUUUAGAGAAGAAGAAAGGUAAAUGACCCAUGGAAGAGAGUCCACCAUCUGAAAUUCAAAAGAAGAGGAAGAAGGAUGAGUCAGCUUCAGUGACUGAGAAAACUGGGAAGUAACAAAAAGAGAAAGAAUAGAAAUUAGAGAAAAAGAAGGAAAAAGGAAAAUUCACCAAAAAAGGUAAUCCUCCAUCCUCGAAAUUCAUAAAUAAGAUUCAUAAGGAUAGAUUUAGGAAAAUAGAGAAUGUUCCCAUCUCUUGUGGGAAAUUAAAAAGGGUUUAUCGGAUUACUUUGAAGAAAUUGAGUGUUUUUAAGAACAGAACUUUUAGUGCCAGCCUUGUGAAAGAAUUCUAUCCUAGUAUUGCACUGGAUGAAACUGAACUUGAUGACCUUGAGGAUUUUGUUGAUGAUGGUCUUAAUGUGUUUCUAAAUGGAAAGGAGUUUGUGGUCACUGCCACUCAUCUGGGAAAUCUACUCAAAAUUGAGUGUAAUAAAGGAGAGUAUGAAAUUCUUGAAGAUUAUGAUCCCUCAUCUCUGUGGGAAAUAAUCAUAGGGAAAAAGGAAAGAUACUCUCUAAAAGCUAUGCAAGCUUUAUCAAAAGUCCACACAUUAGGAUCUUGCACUAUUUUAUAACUUCAACAAUUCAUGGAAGAAGCGGUAGCUAUAGCUACAUAAGCCUUUAAGAUAUGUGGCUAAUGGAGCAUGCUUUUAAUGUUAUUCCCCUCAAUUUAGGAAGAUUCAUGAUUGAGAGAAUGAAAGGAAUCUGUCAAGUUGACAAAGUUAAUUUAGCUUAUGGAAAUAUGAUCACUUCUCUAGUAAAGCAAAAGGGAAUUUGGAACAACAGAUAUGAGAUGGAUCAAGUUGAGAGCAGAGAUUAGGUUAUAUGUCUGGGAAGUUUGCCAAAGAUGGGGUACAAGCUAGAAGGAAAAAAGUUUGUCAAGACCCCCAAAGAUACUCUAAGGGAUGAGCAUGCCACCCCUACUCAAGCAAAGGCAACUCCCUCUCAGAUUUCAAAUUAAAUGAUUCUAAAUUUACAGAUGAGAAUUGAUGGGAAACUCACUGAUCAGUCUGCAAGAAUUCAAAAAAUUGAAGAUAAGUUGGCAAAGCUGAGAAAUUUGAUGAAAAAAGAAGGAAAAUCAUUUUCUGGUUCUGCAACUGCAGAUACUUUUGCAGCACCAAGUCCAGCACCAGCAGGACAAGCUGCUAAAACUCUUAUUUUACAAGCUGAAGGUGAUGAACCAAAAUCUAGUCCAGCAAGAAAAUCACCCACCUCUAAACCUAAAAAUGAAGAAGAAUCCAAUGAAGGUACUAAAGUGAUAGGAUCUUUCAAUGACAAUUCUACACAACAUGAUGAGGCAUAGAUAAAUAAACCAUCUCUAACAAACUCUGAAGAAAUUCUAAUUAGGGAUGUCUUUCAUCAGAAGGUAAGGGAAAAACAAGUUGAAAAAGAAGCAGCAAAAAGCAGAACUCAGAUGCCAACACCUGUAAAAGCUUCCCCUAAAUUAGUCCACACCACAAAAAGUGGACCUACUAAUUAAGAAAGAGGGAAAGCAGAGGAGUCUACCUAAGAUAAACCCAAACCUACUAGUAAAUGCAGAAAGACUAUGGCAACAAAAACUAAGUUCCCCAAGAAGAUAAUGUCCUCCAAAUUAGCUGAAAAAGCCAAACCUUCAUUUAAGUCUUCUAUUCAGAAUCCACUCCAAGUUUCAGACAAAUCUUCCCCUGAUUCCUCACCACAAAGAUUCUUACCUGUGUCAUCACCUAAACCCUUCAAUGUCCACUUUGGAAUGGAUGAAUCAACCCCCUCUGACUCUUCUUAGUUCUAUCUCUAUUUUGUUGAUGAAAAAAAGAGGGAGAUAAGUUAGAGUAUAAGUAAUUUAGGGGUAAUUUAAGUGUCUGACCAGGAACUUGACUCUGAUGAUGUUGGGCUGUUUAUGACAAUAUGUUAUUUUAAUUUCUUGUUUAUGACAAUGUGUUAUUUUAAUUGCUGAUGGAUUGUUAAUGACAUUUGAAUGCUAAGAACGUAUUUCAGUUAUGCUUUUGUGUUUAAUGAAUUGUUAAUGAUAGUUGAUUUUCAAAUGGAUGGGGUUUAUUGACAAUAUGCUGAUGACAGCUAUUUGCAAUACUGAUAAUAUUUUGUCAUCUAUUACUAAUUGUUCUGUAAGCUUGUAUGAAGGUACUUUGUUAAAAUGUAUGAAUCUAUGGCUGUUAUUUUCUUUAAGAAAUUGAUGUCUACCUAUACUACUUGAGUGUGCAAGAUGAAAAUGUAUGUCAAUGAUAGAUUAAUCACUCAAAAGCAAAUAUCAAAACUCAUAAGCAUAAAGAGCUACAAUUGAGCGAUAAACAAAAGCCUCUUAGUCGAAUAACUAAGGGAGUUAGUCAACUAAAAUUCAAAAAUGAAGUUGGCUGGUCCAAAAACAGAAAAGACUUAGUUGACCAAAAAGCAUGGUUAGUCGACUAAGUGCUCACUACUAGAAACUUCAAUAAGAAAACAGGGAAGACUUAGUCGACUAAAAAGCAUGGUUAGUCGACUAAGAGCUCAUUGCCAGAAACUGGGAUCAGAAGACAGAAACGACUUAAUCGACUAAGAAGUAUGUUAGUCAACUAAGAGCAUUCUGUUUGAAAAUUUGAAUUUGAAUGCUAGAAGACAGAUUAAUGGCUAGAACUGACUCCAAACUAUUUCCUAACUGUCAGAAACUAUCAAACAUCCAUCAGAGUUGGUUUUUCAAGUAUAAAAGGCAUUUUCAAUGGCUAAGAAGAAGAUUAGAUGUUUCCAAGAUCAAAAAAAGCAAAAACUCUUUGCAUACUUUUUGUAAUUCACUCUAAUCCUUGUAAUAGAGUUAAGCACUUUAUCUUGUACCAUUCAAAUCAGGUUAGUGAUCAUAGGUACUCCUUUAUUUCUAUUCUCCUUGAUUACUUAGAGUGUGGGAAUCACUCUAAGUGGAUUGAUUAAGCUUGGGGUAGCAUGAUUGGGUGUAUAGGUUCUAACUCAGCCUAGAAAAAGUUAGUUUUGGGUUUUGGUUGAUCCCGAUUAAAACCAUUGUUAAAGGUUGUGGUUGAGCUUGUGAAAAGCCAUUGUAAAAGCUUGGUGGAAGCUUCGGAAUUCCACCAUUUAUAAUGAUUUGGUUUGGAAAAUCCUUGGUUGAACAAUCAAGGUAGUGGAUGUAGGUCUUUGACUAAACCACUAUAAGUCUUUGCGAAUUGUCUGCUCUAUUUUAUUUUUCAUUUUCAUUCUCUUUUAAAUCAUUCUUUCAUCUUGCAUCAAAUUUCUCAUCAUUGACCUUCAAUUUGCCUCCAAUUAGAAAUCAAGUUUAGUGAGAGCCAAAAAGUGCUAUUCACCCCUCUUUUAGCACAUUUAUUUAGGACCAACAAAGCAAUCAAUGUUUUUAAGGACUUUAAGCAGAAACAUGGGGAGCUUGUUAAAAAUUACAUGCUGAAAGUGAUCUCUUAUCUUAAUGAGGCAGAACUACAUGGUGUUGAGAUAAAUGCAGAAACACAAAUAUCAAUGAUCGUUCAUAGCUUGAAUUCAUCAUUUUCACAAUUCAAAUUGGAUUAUGAACUAUACACUAGGGAUUACACCCUAAGUGGGCUAAUCAAUGAUCUACAAAAAAUGGAAGAGGUUCUUAAUUUGAAAAAGAGGCCUGAAGCACAUUUAGUUUCCACUUCUAAGCCCAAACCUAAGGGCAAAAAGAAGAAAGUUGGAUAUAAAAAAGUACUAAAGGCUCAGUGGGAGCAAAGAAAAAAACUCAUGAAGAAAAAUAGUGCUUCAAAAGAUAAGACUAAAGGAAAAUGUUUCCGUUGUGGUGUGAAAGGACAUUGGAAGCAAAAUUGCAAGGUUUACCUUGAAGAAAUCUAAAAAAGUGAACAAGGCAAGGGUUUUUUAAAUAUGUUAGAAGCCUGUUUAGUGGUUGAUUUUAUGAUACUUGGAUAGUAGAUUUUGAAGCCAUUAACCACGUUUGUAAUUCUUUAUAGAGGUUUCAACAAAGAAGAAAACUGAGUAAAGGGCAGUUUUGGAUAAGGAUGGCAAAUGGCACAUUUGUUUCAGCAUUAGCAAUGGGAGCCAUUAUUCUUCAAUUUCCUUACGGUUGUAGUUUAGUUUUAGAAAAUGUUUUUUACAUUCCAAAUACUUAUAGAAAUUUGAUUUCUGUCUUUUGUUAAAUAAAGUCUAAAUAUACAUUUUAUUUUAGUGAGACACUCAUUAUUUAUUCGAAUAAGUAUUUUAUUUGUUCUGGAAUUGUAAGAUAUACUCUUUAUUUCCUUGAGCCUACGACUUAUUCUGCAAAUGAUAUAGAAGCAAUACGAUUUAAAAUUGAAAGAGUCAAAGAAUCUAGCAUUAAUCAAAAUUAUCUUUGGCAUUUGUGCUUAAGCCAUAUCAAUCAAAAUAGACUCAAUAGGCUUAUAAAGGAUGGUACCCUACCAAACAAGGUUGAGGGUCCUUUGUUGAUAUAUGAGUUUUGUAUUGAAGCAAAAAUGAUUAAAGGGCCUUUAAAGGCAAAAAGUAACAGAAUGUCAAAUGUUCUAGACUUGGUGCACACAGUUGUGUCUGGACCAAUGAACAUACAAGAUAGAGAAGGUUUUGAAUAUUUCAUAACUUUUAUUGAUGACUACUCAAGACAUGGCUUUGUGUAUUUAAUGCAUAGAAAAAGUGAAUCCUUUGAAAAGUCUCGAGAAUUCAAAAUCGAAGUUAAAAGGCAACUAGGCAAGCUAUUGGACAACUUCGAUCAGAUCGGGGUGGUGAGUAUUUAUUGGAUGAAUUUCAGCAAUAUCUCACUGACAAUGGAAUAAUUUUCAGUUUGUUAGCUUUGAGAACUCCUCAACAUAAUGGCAUAGUUGUAAGAAGAAAUAGAACUAUCAUGGUUAGAUCAAUGAUGUCCUAUGCUAACCUUCCAAUCUCAUUUUGAAAUAUUGUAUGCAAAUUGCUGAGUACUUGCUCAAUUUUGCUCCAUCUAAGGCUAUGCCUAAGACACCAAGGGAGCUGUGGAUAGGGCGUAAAUCAUCUAUACAUCAUCUGUGAACUUGGAGUGUCUUGCACAUAUUUCAAAGUCUGAGACCACAAAAAUUAAGCCAAAGACUGAGGUGUGCUUGUCUAUAGGGUAUUCAUAGGGAACAAGAGGUUAUUACUUCUAUAGUCCUCAAGAAAAGAAAGUAUUUGUUAGUGCAAAUGCAACUUUCUUAAAGGAAGAGUUUGUGAGAAAUCACAAACCUUGAAGUAAAAUUGUCUUAGAAGAAUUGUCUAAUCCUUCAGAUUUAAGAGUUAAUUUUAAAGAUUUCUUAACAUAGUCUAAUUCAAGAGUUGAAACAGAAACACAACCUGAACAUCAAAUAGUGGUGCCUCGACGUAGUGGUUGUGAGACAACCAAAGAUGCAUGGGUUUGGGAGAAAACAUGACUGCACCCUUAGAUGAACAUAAAUCUAACCCUAUUACAUAUAGGGAAUCUAUUAAUGAUGUAGAUGUUAAAGAAUGGCAUAAGGUAAUGAAAUCUGAGUUGGACACCAUGGAUUCUAACAAAGGCAGUACUUUGGUAGAUCCACCUAAAGGGAUAAAACCCAUAAGAUGCAAAUGAAUUUACAAGAGAAAAAGAGGAAGUGAUGGAGACCUUCAAGGCUAGAAUAGUGGCCAAGGGUUUUACCCAAAUAGGAGGUAUUGAUUAUGAGGAAACCUUUUCUCUAGUUGCUAUGCCUAAAUCCAUCAAGAUCCUUUUAUCCAUAACUCCACAUCUUGAUUAUGAGAUAUGGAAAAUGGAUGUCGAGAUCGUUUUUUUAAAUGGGGAUCUUGAAAAGUGCAUUUAUAUAGCUCAACUAGAAGGUUUCAUUAAAAAAGCCCACACGCAUAAGGUUUGUGAAUGGCAUAGGUCCAUUUAAGGACUUAAGCAAGCAUCUAGAUCUUGGAACAAAAGAUUUGAUACUACUAUCAAAUAAUAAGGAUUCCAACAAAAUGUUGAUGAACCUUGUGUUUAUAAAAGGAUACAAGAUAAAAAGGUUACUUUCCUAGUCCUUUAUAUUGAUGGCAUUUUACUCAUUGGUAAUGAUGCAGGAAUAUUAUCAAUAGCUAAAGGUUGGCUGAACUAAUAAUUCAAUAGGAAGGAUUUGGGCAAAGCUAGCUAUGUUCUUGGGAUUAAACUUAUAAGGGAUCAUAAGAACAAGCAGAUAACAUUAUCUCAAGUAUCCUACAUAGGCAAGAUUUUGGCCAAUUUUUCUAUGCAGGAUUCCAAGAAGGGCUUUAUGCCCUCUAGAUAUGGACUCAAACUUUCUAAGUAGAUGUCACCUAAUACUCUUGAGGAAGUUGAAAAUAUGAGAAGGAUUCCACAUGCAUUGGUUAUUGGAAGUCUCAUGUAUGCUAUGCUGUGCACUAGGCCAGAUAUCUGCUGUGUAGUUGGAUUGGUGAGUAGAUCUUAGUCAAACCCAAGCAUGGAGCAUUGGACUGCAAUGAAGUGUAUUUUUAAAUAUCUUUGUAGAACGAAGAAUUACAUGCUUGUAUAUUCCGGAAGCGACUUUGUAGCAAUAGUGUACACUGAUUCAAAUUUUCAGUCUAAUGUUGAUUCUAGGAAAUCGACAUCAAGAUAUGUUUUCACCAUAGGAGAAUGAGCCAUAGUUUGAAAAAGUGUAAAGCAAUCUUGUAUUGCAGACUCUACUAUAGAGGUAGAGUAUUUGCAACUUGUGAAGCAGAAAAAAAAGCUAUAUGGCUCUGUAAGUUCUUUAUGGACCUUGAAAUAAUUCUAAAUGCAGACAAGCCCAUUACACUCUAUUGUGAUAAUAGUGGACCAAUGGCUAACUCAAAAGAAUCACGGAAUCAUAUAGCAGCAAAAUGCAUUGAAAAGAAGUAUCAUCUCAUUCAAGAGAUCAUACAACGUGGAGAAGUACUUGUGAAGAAAAUUCCACCAGAGCAGAACCUCACCAAUCCAUUCACAAAGACCCUAACACAAAAAAGUUUCAAUGGUCACCUAAAAAGUCUUGGAAUGAGGGAUAUGUCAUACUUGCUUUAGGGCAAGUGGGAGAUUGUUAGGAAUUUGAGAAUAUGAUGCGCUAGAAGAUUGUUAAGAAUUUGAGAAUAUAAUGCCCUAGAAAGCAACUAUAUUCUCAUUUUUAAUUUUAUUUAAUUUAUUUGUAAUGAAAGUACAUUUUGAUAAUAAGACGAAAAGUUUGUUUUAAAUAAGCAUUCAUUAUCUACUUAUUAAGGUACCAUGAUUUUAUUGAGAUAUUAAAAUAUAUUUGUAUGAAGAGUCAUACAUAGCAAACAUAUAUUUUAAUUGAAUAUAAAAAAUUAUUCACAGCCAUAUAAUAAAUGUGAGACAUUGUCAAGCUCGAUUAAAAGAUGGUAUUGUACCGAGUGGUACAACUAAGUUAAAUCGAGCCUUGAACUAGUUCAAAUAGAAAUUCUAAGAGAAAUUUGAAAUUUUUGAAACACACAGAAUGGCUUAGAAUAGUGAUUCGAAAUUCAAGGUCUAGUUUGGAGUCCAUCAGGAAAAUUGACCGAUUAGGGACAAAACGGUCAUUUUACCAUUUGAUGAUAAAAUGGAGAUUUUUAGCCAAGAUUUGAUCACAUUUGACCAAGAAUAAUUAUAUGAAAUAUAAUUAUGAUUAUUGGAGUAUAAAAUGAUGUUUAGCAGUGAAAAAUUAUGAUUCCAGGUAUUUUUGGAGCACAAGGGUAAAAUGAUAAUUUUACCACUAGAGGAGUAAACGAAAAUUUUUAUAAAACGAUUUUUGCGCCAUUUGGUUAAUAUUGAUCAAUAUUAGUGUUAUUUGAGGUUGAAAAGUAGAAAUAAUGUGAUUCUAGUACAUUUUGAAGUAUAGGGGUAAAAUCGUAAUUUUUUAGCUCCGGGGGCAAAAAGGUAAAUUUUUCACCCUAGCACUUGUCAAGACCAAGGGAUUUUAAUUGUGGUAGGAUUGGAUAAAUACCAGAAUAUUUGUGGUGGAAAAUUAAGAAGAAAAAGUCAAAAAGUUAAAAAAUUGGGCCAAUAAGCAUGUGAUGCGUGGCAUGCUUGAUUAUUUUAUUAUUUUUUAUAGAAAUCAGCCCAUUAAAUCUCCAAUUCUCUCAUCAUAUUCUGCCUAGGCAACCAGCAACAAGAGCAAAGGAAGAACAAAGGGAAAAACAAGAAAACCUAGGUGAAAAUUCAAAGAAAAAGUGAAGAAAUCAAGGAAACAAGCUAGGUAAGUUAAAAUUUCUUUAAUUCUCCUUGAUACCUAGCUUACCCAUGCUUUUGUUCUUGAUUUCCAUGGUUGAAUAUUGAGUUAUCAUGAUGAAUUCAAUUCUGAAAAAUGGGUAUGGAAGAGGAAUUGUUGUUGGAAUAAUUUGAUUUUAGACUAUGUUAGUGUUUAGGGAUAGUUAAGCAUGGUUAUGAACAAAAACACAAAAGAAAUAUUCAAUUUCUCUAGGGUUCNNNNNNNNNNNNNNNNNNNNNNNNNNNNNNNNNNNNNNNNNNNNNNNNNNNNNNNNNNNNNNNNNNNNNNNNNNNNNNNNNNNNNNNNNNNNNNNNNNNNNNNNNNNNNNNNNNNNNNNNNNNNNNNNNNNNNNNNNNNNNNNNNNNNNNNNNNNNNNNNNNNNNNNNNNNNNNNNNNNNNNNNNNNNNNNNNNNNNNNNNNNNNNNNNNNNNNNNNNNNNNNNNNNNNNNNNNNNNNNNNNNNNNNNNNNNNNNNNNNNNNNNNNNNNNNNNNNNNNNNNNNNNNNNNNNNNNNNNNNNNNNNNNNNNNNNNNNNNNNNNNNNNNNNNNNNNNNNNNNNNNNNNNNNNNNNNNNNNNNNNNNNNNNNNNNNNNNNNNNNNNNNNNNNNNNNNNNNNNNNNNNNNNNNNNNNNNNNNNNNNNNNNNNNNNNNNNNNNNNNNNNNNNNNNNNNNNNNNNNNNNNNNNNNNNNNNNNNNNNNNNNNNNNNNNNNNNNNNNNNNNNNNNNNNNNNNNNNNNNNNNNNNNNNNNNNNNNNNNNNNNNNNNNNNNNNNNNNNNNNNNNNNNNNNNNNNNNNNNNNNNNNNNNNNNNNNNNNNNNNNNNNNNNNNNNNNNNNNNNNNNNNNNNNNNNNNNNNNNNNNNNNNNNNNNNNNNNNNNNNNNNNNNNNNNNNNNNNNNNNNNNNNNNNNNNNNNNNNNNNNNNNNNNNNNNNNNNNNNNNNNNNNNNNNNNNNNNNNNNNNNNNNNNNNNNNNNNNNNNNNNNNNNNNNNNNNNNNNNNNNNNNNNNNNNNNNNNNNNNNNNNNNNNNNNNNNNNNNNNNNNNNNNNNNNNNNNNNNNNNNNNNNNNNNNNNNNNNNNNNNNNNNNNNNNCUAUUGUUAUUUUAGCAGGAUGACUUGUUUUAAGGGAAAAAGGAGACUUUUUCCUUGAUGUUCUGGUUCUCGCUGCAGCGAGAAUGAAGUUUGCUACAACGAGAAACUUUCUGUCCAUUUUGCUAACUUGAGGAUUUUUGCCAUAUUUCCCAUUUCUUUGGUACCAUAGUUGAGCAUGGAUUUUUGUAAAGUGAUUUACUCAUGUGGGGUUUACAUGAGGGGUUUAAAGGAGCUUAAACAAUUGCAUGGUUUUGAGAAAAUGAAUGCAUCAUGAUUUUGAUAAACAUUCCUUAUGGUAUGCUUGUUCCCUUCUUGUUCACCCACUGAGUAUUAUACUCAAGUUUUAUAAAAAUUCAUGUUUUCAGAUCAGGUGACUGUUGGACCCUAGAUCAAGGAGUCCUCGUAGUGCAUCUCCUGGGUAUGUGUCUGGCAUUCGAUAGUAAUCCCUUUUAUUGUAAAUGUCUCCACUGGAAGUCAUGGGUCCUUUUGUAUUGUGAAUAUAAUCUAACAAUGUGAAUAUGUGUAUGCAAUGUAAAUUGCUAAAUACAUGAUUGGUAUAGUGCAUGUAUAUAAUUAUCGAUAAUUCCAUUGUGUUUUGGCUAUGUUCACACCCGGGAAAAGGUGUGUGUGUGUAUGCAUGAUAUGAUAAAUUUGUUAAGCAAAGGUAAAUGUAUAGGCUUGCUUGGGCUUAGUGAGCUAUGCUCGUUGAGCUCAUGCGCCGGUCAUGGCCCGAAAAAUUGAGUCGUGACAAUAAAGUUGGUCACUGUAUCAAGUUAUGGUUGUAGUGUCCAGAUUACUUCCAACGAAAUGAAUGUGAUUCACUUCAAGGGAAUGAUGAGUCUCAAAUCAUCGGAAUGAUUGACUUCGAGUAAUGACAUUAUAACAUGAACUAAAAUCAUGUGAGAAUCAAAUUUAAGUUUAACCGUUACUUAAAUCUAGAUCUCACACUUAUGUAUUUGCUUCUAGUAGAACCAAAAUCCUUAUGGAUAGUGGACUCAUAUUUUAUUUCUUUAUAAUCUUUGAUAUACCAUGAGCAUGAUCAUCAUAAAACAUUGAUUUAGACUCCAUAUGUUGGGAUUAUAAUUGAGCUAAACAUCUGGGAACAUAUAUCCAAAUAGUAAAAUUCAUCACUUCUAGUGAUUUCAAGAAGAUUGGUGAUAGUUCGAGCCUAGUGGAUUGAUGAAUUAGCUAUUCAUCACAUCUUGAUACUUAAAAGAUUAGAACUAGAGUAUUGAAUCACUAAUUGGAUGAAAUCUGAUAUUAGGGUACAAAAUUGACAUAAAAGGUAAAAUGGUAAUUUCACCUUUUGUCAUUGGAUGGUUAUAAGGGUUCACAAUAUAAGGUUUGCAAUUGGACAACUAAUACUUAAUAUCAAGUAUUGAAUCAUUUCUUGUAAUUAUAGUUAAUCCAAAUGUGCAACCCUAAAUCUAUGGUGGAGUGAUUUCAUAGUUAAUAAGCUUGAACCAUCUUAAUGAGAUUACAAAUAAUUCUAAAUUUAUUGGAGCUUGGAAUAUCUAUGUCUAAAUAGGUUCCUCACUUAGCCUUGUAGAAUUCAACUUGUUUAUGUUGGAAUGCAUAUUUUUUUUGAUUAAUUAAAUUAUGUACGAAAAUGUCAACUUUUACAUGUUUUGUCUUACUUUAGACAAGAAAACAUGUUAUGUCUUAAUUUAGAUAAGAAAACAUGUUAGUCUUAAUUUAGACAAGAACAUAUGUUUUAUCUUAAUUUAGACCAGAAAACAUGAUUAUCUUAAUUUGAGACAAGAAAAACAUGUUUUAUCUUAAUCUAGACAAGAAAACAUACAAGAUAACAUGCUUUGUCUUAAUUAAAGACAAAAGUUAUCUUAAAUUAAGAUAAUGUUAGAAGCAUUUUUGCAAAAUGAACCAAGACAUCCAUGUUGAUAAAAGGAGACUCAUGUUUGACUAGUACUCUUUUAUUUAUUAUUAAUUCUUUUUAAAUAAAUAUGGAUAAUAAUAAAAUAAGAGUUAUUAUUCAACAUGGAGUUUUAUUUUAUCAAAAGCUCUAAAUGACAAUUAAAGAAUUAAAUUAUUUAUUUUUUAAUUUUAAUUUUGGUAAUUAUGGAGCAUUUUUUAUGCAUCCAUAACUCUAAAUGGAUGGUUAAGAUUGAUUCAAAGGUAUUUGAUUUUGGUUAAACUUUUGAGAUAAGAGUUUUAAUAAAAAGAGAAGUAAUUGGAAGAAAAGAAACAGACAUAUCUCUCUUAAGAAAGUCUCUGCAGCCAUUUCUUUCCUCCUCUUCUUAACUUUGCUACACCUCUUUUCCUCUCUCCCAUUCUUAGCUAUUAAUUUGAAGGAAGAAAAGAGAGACAAAUCGAUUGCCAUCUUGUAGUGAUCUAGCAUUCCACACCAUCGAAGUAAUUCACAUGGUACGGCCACGUCAUCAUGUAAUUCACACAUACAUUGCCACAUCAUCGAAGUUUGCCAUGUCAGCACCACAUCAGCGUUGAUGUCGUCUCUUUUAACUGUCAAAAUGGAUGUCGAUAGGGAGAGGAACUAAAUUGGAGCAAUUUUCAAAAUUAAGGAACUAAAUUACUUCGAUUUUGAAUAUAGAGAUUAAAUUAGACAAAAUAAGAGAGUAUGGGAACUAUAUAAGUUUUUUGACCAUUUGAUAUGGCACUUAAGUUAAGAAAUUAAUUUUUUAAUGAUUAUAAUUAAAAUUGAAAAUGAAGUAACACCUUACUAAAAUUAAAAAAGUAUAGCACCAACGAAUACCAUUGAAUACAAGUAAUAUCGAAAUGCGAACCUUUACCUUGCUUAAAUUGUUGGGUUUAGAAAAUAGACGGUUUGAUCUUUGUUUCAAGAGUAAAUUAGACUUCCUAGCUACCAUUAACAAUAUAACGUAGACGCAAUAGAAAAUGAAGUAUUAAUCAAAUAUUGCUUGAAAUUAUAAGCUUGAUUAGUUUCUUGUAUCCAACAUCCCAAUCUGACUUCGCUCAGCCGUACGGCAUACUCUUAUUCAAGACCUCACCAACUGUGGUCACCUUUCCGAAUGCUAAGCUUUGGCAACAAAUAACGUUUCAUGGAGUAACGAAAUUCGAAACUUACUUGCAUUUGUUGUCUUAAGACUUAAUGUAGCGGACCCCUUGAUAUCCUUUGCCAAGUCAAAUUAAACAAUUUUGUUGUUGAAUUAACAAUAUUUCUUGGACUUAAUCAAACGUACAUAUAGCAUCAAUCAAACGUUAAUGCUUCAAACAAGUAAUCUUGAUAUCAAUUGGCUAUCCACUAAAUUACAUCUGUCAUCUUCAAGUUUUAGCUUAAACCAACUACAUUCUUACAUUUUCAAAACCACUUAUUUAUUUAAUAUAAUACUUGAAAAUAUUUCUUAAUUUCUUAGGAAAAUUCAAAUAACUUAUUUUUUUUAUUGUGUCAAUAUGUCACAUUAAUAUCAAGUGAUAUUUUAACUAAAUCAAUAAUUAAUUUUUAUUUGACUCAAAAUAAAAAUAUAAGGUCUUAUUUGAUUCAAAAUAAAAAAUAUAUGAACUUAAUUAAACAUAAUAAAAAAUAAAAUUUAGUUCAAUUUUAUUUUUAAUAGUGUAGAGGCUUUUUCAAGUAUGGUACUUAUUAAUUUUUUAUAAUUUCAAUAUUAUAAUGAGAUGAUUUUUCGUUAAUAUUUUUAUUAACAUGGCAGUUGACAUUCAGAGCUACAAAGUACCAAAUCCAGCCCCUCACACCAGAUGGAGGGGGCUAGAUAUAGCUCCCAAGCCGUAUCCGGCGAAGUAAGGAGCCGCCUCCGUUCCAAUUUCUACCAUCAGCGCUAGGAGGGUUAGAGUUGACCCUUCCUCAUGCCAGUUGCCCUAUGGUCGAUGGGAGCAAAGGGGGAGACGCAAGACGAGAAGAAAAGAAACAGAAAAUGAGAAGGAAAAAAAUGUGAAAUAUUUUUUAAAAUUAAUUAAUUUAAAAUGUAAUAUAAAAAUUGCUUUUGAAUAGAAUAUGGGUUUAAAAAUAUUGAAACUAAAUAAACAAAUUUAACAAGUCAAUUUUGGACACAUCAUCUAACAUGUGUUUGACACAUGUAGUUAGACAUUCCUUAACUCUUACAAAAAGAUUAACGGAAAAAUAACUUUUCAUACUAUUGAAAAUAAAAGAAUCAACAAAGAAUUUUUUAAACCUAAAAAGUUAAAAUAAUAUGCCAUCUAAAUUUUGGGAACUGUGAGAUUGAUUUACUCUUCAUUGCCAAAAGAUACUUCCUAAAAACCACCUCCAUGAAAACUAAUUAAGUUAAGGAGGGAGGACCACUUUCGUGAAGGCGGACUUUAUGAAUUCUUCACAAUAUUUAUCAAUAGAUGUUAUGAUAAAGUCUAGUCUAAAUUUACCCCUUAAUUUAAAGUGAUAAAUGAAUCAAACAUCAACGCUUUAUCUUUAAAUAAAAGUGUAAUUUUAGCAUCAUACCUUUUUAUUUGAUUUAGAAUUAAUCAAAAGCUACUGGUACAAAAUAUUCUAAAAAUAAAUAUAGAAUAUUUUAACUUUUAAUUAGUUUUUAACCAAAUAAAAAAGAAUGACGAUAAAAUUACAAUUGUUUAACAAAAAAAAAAAAAAUUCUUGGUGUCACCUUGAGGUGUAUCUAUACCUCAUCUUCAUGUUAUUAUAAAUUAUUUAAAUGUUCAAGUGUAUUUGUUUCAAUAUUGGAAGUGAUGCAUAUUUAUUUUAUUCAUUUUUUAUUUCAUUUUUACAGUCAAUAUUUGGCUAUUCAGAUAUUUCUGUGAUGCUAAAAACGAACCCCACUGCAAAUGCAACAACUGCCAUUUGCAUUAAUUUGUUUAUGAUGAUGAUCCUUAAGAUUAAAAUUUCAGUUUUUAAUAAUAUUGAAAAGGUUAGGGUAUAACUAACUUCAAAUUAGUUAGGGUAUAAUUAUGGAACCUUUUUUAUGCAUCCAUAACCUUAAAUGGAUGGUCAAGAUUGAUUUAAAUGUAUUUGAUUUUGAUUAAACCUUUGAAGUAAAAGUUUUAAUAAAAAGAUAAGUGAUUGAAAGAAAAAAAAUGAACAUAUCUCUCUUGAGAAAGUCUCUGCAGCCAUUUCUUUCCUCCUCCUCCUAACUUUGCUGCACUUCUUUUCCUCUCUCAUAUUAUUGGCUAAUUUUUUUAAAAAAAAUAGUAAUUAAUGUUUAGGAAGAAAAGAGAAACAAAUCGAUUGUCAUCUUGUAGUGAUCAAGCAUUCCACAAAAUCAAAGUAAUUCACAUGGUACGACCACGUCAUCAUGUAAUUCACACAUACAUUGCACAUCAUCAAGAGUUUGCCAUGUCAGCCCCACAUCAAAGCUGACAUCAUCUCUUUUAACUGUCAAAUAGAUGUCGUUAGGGAGAGAGACCAAAUUGAAGCAAUUUUCAAAAUUAAGAAAUUAAAUUGCUUCGAUUUUGAGUAUAAGGACUAAAUUAAACAAAAUAAGAGAGUAUAGGGACUAUAUAAAUCUUUUGACCAUUUGAUAUGGCACUUAAGUUAAGAAAUUAAUUUUUAAAUGAUUAUAAUUAAAAUUGAAAAUGAAGUAGCACCUUACUAAAAUAAAAAUAGUAUAGCACCAACGACUACCAUCGAAUACAAGUAAUAUCGAAAUGCGAACCUUUACCUUGCUUAAAUUGUUGGGUUUAGAAAAUAGACAGUUUGAUCUUUGUUUUAAGAGUAAAUUAGACUUCCUAGCCACCAUUAACAAUAUAAGGUAGGCGCAAUAGAAAAUGAAGUAUUAAUCAAAUAUUGUUUGAAAUUAUAGGCUUGAUUAGUUCCUUGUAUUCAACGUCCCAGUCUGACUUCGCUCAGCCGUAUGGCAUACUCUUAUUUGAGACCUCACCAAAUGUGGUCACCUUUCCGAAGGCUAAGCUUUGGCAACAAAUAACGUUUCAUGGAGUAACGAAAUUCGAAACUUACUUGCAUUUGUUGGCUUAAGACUUGAGAUAGUGGAUCCCUUGAUAUCUUUUACCAAGUCAAAUUAAACAAUUCUGUUGUUGUUGAAUUAACGAUAUUUCAUGGACUUAAUCAAACGUACAUAUAGCAUCAAUCAAAUAUUAAGGUUUCAAACAAGUAAUCUUGAUAUCAAUUGGCUAUCCACUUAAUUACCUCUGUCAUCUUCAAGUUUUAGCUUAAACCAACUACAUCCUUACAUUUUCAAAAUCACUUAUUUAUUUAAUAUAAUACUCAAAAAAAUUUCUUAACUUCUUAAGAAAAUUCAAAUUACUUUUUUUUAUAAUGUUUAAUGAAAUUUUUUGUACUUUUCUUUUAAAUCAAAUAAACUUUUAUAAUUAAUAUUGAUUAAUUAUCAUUAAUUAAAAUAUCACUUGAUAUUUUAUACUCACAUGGUACUGAUAUGGAAGAUGAAAAAUGUUGCAAGGUCACGUUAUUAUACAUUAUGACAUGUCAAUAUGUCACAUCAAUAUCAAAUGGUAUGGAAUGAAAAGUGAUAUUUUAAUUAAGUCAACCAUUAGUCUUUAUUUGGCUCAAAAUAAAAAUAUAAAGUUUUAUUUGACUCGAAAUAAAAAAUAUAUGAACUUGAUUAAACGUUUAAAUACUACACUUAUUAAUUUUUAUAAUUUGAAUAUUACAAUGAGAUGAUUUUUUGUCAAUAUUUUUAUUAAUCAUGUCAGUUAACAUUCAGAGCUACGAAAUACCAAAUACAGCCCCUCACACCAGAUGGAGGGGGGGAGAUAUGGCUCUCAAGCCGUAUCCGGCGAAGUAAUGAGCUGCCUCCACUCCAAUUGCUACCAUCAGCGCUAGGAGGGUUAGAGUUGACCCUUCUUCAUGCCAGUUGGCAUAUGGUCGAUGGGAGUAGACCUGGCAAUUCGUGUUAACGUGUCAUAAACGUGUCAGACACAAAACACAUUAAGGCUAAAUAUAAACACGACACGUUUAAUAUUCGUGUCUCAAAUUUAAAACAAGUGCACGUUUAAUACACGUGUAACACGAUACGACAUGAUUAAUAUGUUUAUUAAAUGUGUCAAUAUAUGACACGAUACGAUUAAUAACACAUUUAACAUGAUUAACACGUUUAACACGAUUAACACGUUUAACACGAUUAAAUAAAAAUAUUUACAAUUAAAUAUAAUUUUAUUAUUUAAAUUUAAAAUCUAUGAUUAUAAAAAUAGUUAUAAUAAAACAAAAAUAAUAAUAACAUCAAAUAAUCACCAAAAGUUAAAAAUUAGGGUUGAGCAUAUAUAAUUACAUUAUACUCUUUAUAAAAUUAAAAAAACUUAUUAAAAUAAUUAUUUAAAAUUAUUUAUAUAAGGUUAAAAUAGUUUUUAACUAUUAAUUUUUAAUAGAUUAAUAAAUAUGUAACGUAUACACGUUUAAACACGAUUAAGUAAACAAGUUUAAAUGUGUUUUAAACGUGUUUGUCAUGUCAGACACGUUAAGAUACGAAAAUUUUCGUAUCUUAAAAUAUCAGACAUGAUUAGAUACAAAAUAUGUCACGACCCGGAACCUCCCUCAGGCCCAUGACAAUCGCCGCGACGUCCCGAUUGACACUCGUUAUUUGGAAUGCCAACCGGAACCCCGCAAGGCUUACAUAUCAGUUUCUUUCCUUUCCUGUGAGCAAUCGUUGUUAAAUAUCGAGUUUUUAGAGAAUAUACACUAUUUUAGAUAAAAACAAUCAAAAUAAAAUUUUCGCCACACAAGGGUAUUUUGGUUAUUUUUUUCUCAAAAAUUUCGAAACUGGCUAAACGUAAUAUACAAGUACAAAACACAUAAUUCAUAUCCAAAAUGAGUUUAAAAGUCUAAAAUCUUCAUUUAAAAUGAAAUUACGAUUAUUUGAAUUCAAUAAGAAAAUAAAAGAAAUAUUAAGGGAAAUAUUCUAUUUUCUUAUAAAACAAUAUUUAUAGAGUUAUANNNNNNNNNNNNNNNNNNNNNNNNNNNNNNNNNNNNNNNNNNNNNNNNNNNNNNNNNNNNNNNNNNNNNNNNNNNNNNNNNNNNNNNNNNNNNNNNNNNNNNNNNNNNNNNNNNNNNNNNNNNNNNNNNNNNNNNNNNNNNNNNNNNNNNNNNNNNNNNNNNNNNNNNNNNNNNNNNNNNNNNNNNNNNNNNNNNNNNNNNNNNNNNNNNNNNNNNNNNNNNNNNNNNNNNNNNNNNNNNNNNNNNNNNNNNNNNNNNNNNNNNNNNNNNNNNNNNNNNNNNNNNNNNNNNNNNNNNNNNNNNNNNNNNNNNNNNNNNNNNNNNNNNNNNNNNNNNNNNNNNNNNNNNNNNNNNNNNNNNNNNNNNNNNNNNNNNNNNNNNNNNNNNNNNNNNNNNNNNNNNNNNNNNNNNNNNNNNNNNNNNNNNNNNNNNNNNNNNNNNNNNNNNNNNNNNNNNNNNNNNNNNNNNNNNNNNNNNNNNNNNNNNNNNNNNNNNNNNNNNNNNNNNNNNNNNNNNNNNNNNNNNNNNNNNNNNNNNNNNNNNNNNNNNNNNNNNNNNNNNNNNNNNNNNNNNNNNNNNNNNNNNNNNNNNNNNNNNNNNNNNNNNNNNNNNNNNNNNNNNNNNNNNNNNNNNNNNNNNNNNNNNNNNNNNNNNNNNNNNNNNNNNNNNNNNNNNNNNNNNNNNNNNNNNNNNNNNNNNNNNNNNNNNNNNNNNNNNNNNNNNNNNNNNNNNNNNNNNNNNNNNNNNNNNNNNNNNNNNNNNNNNNNNNNNNNNNNNNNNNNNNNNNNNNNNNNNNNNNNNNNNNNNNNNNNNNNNNNNNNNNNNNNNNNNNNNNNNUCACAAAAUAUAGCCACAUAUACUCAUUUCUCAUAAGCCAUUCCUAGGAAAAUAUAUAUUUUUCAAGUCAAUUUGCAGCCUCCAAUUACUCAAUUUCAUAAUCAAUACAAUAUAUUUUUAUUUGUCACAUUUAUUCCUAAAACAUCAAAAAUCCCGUUUUAAUCUCGUUCUCAUUUCAUAAAAUACAUAAAGGGCAUUUAAAAAUAAACUCUAGAUAAUUUACAAUAAUAAUAAGUUUACUCACAAUUUGUACAAACUAAAAGCUUUCUAAGCGUCCCUAUCACUACUCGUCGGGUACGACUUCCUUACCUUUUUCGAAAGGCUCUCCUCCUAGACACAUUGCAAAAAUUCAUCACAUUAAUGCUAAAUCACUAUAUAUUUGACUUAAAUCCUAUACUAAUGCAUGGUAUGAAAUGCAAUAGCCAAAAAUGGCUUAAACGCGGUAUUAACCUAUUUUUGGCACUUUACCCGAUAAAUUGCUAACGCGCUCCAUUUUUAUCUCAAAAUUGUCCAUUUUCUCUCCAACAUUUCUAACCAUUAAUUAUCAGCCAAUAUCCCUCUAAAAUCAUCAAAAUCAGCUCACUCUCUUGAUUGGAAAAUUUGGCCAAAAAUGGCACAUUAACUCGGUUAAUUUUCUACUUUGUUUUUCAAUCACGUUUAAUCGUUUUUCAUCAUUUUCUCUUUAUUUCCCUUAGAAUAAAAUCAAUUCAUCAUCAUUGUACAGCAUUGAGCAUCCAGCCAAGAGUGGGUAUUGUGAAAAUUUCAUGCUUUCUUGCCCAAUUUAAUUUCUAUACACAUUUAACUAACUAAAACUAUCAAUUUAACUAAAAAUCAAAACCUAAAAAUUCCAAAAUUCCCCCCCUUGAAUUUUGGUCAGCACAUGGUGUCACUCUUUGAUCUCUCACCUCAAGCAUGCCCAAUGGAAAUAAAGGCAUAAGAAAGGUAGAAAUCAAGCUAAAAUCGAAAAAUCUUACCGUUAGACGCGUAAACGGACGAAAUUUGCGAUUUCCCCUUUGAAUUUUCUUGUUUCUCUCUGGUUUUUCUUUUUUUCUUCCUUUCCACUCUAUUUCCUCUCUUAUUCUUCCUUAUGGCCGGCCAGCACUUAAAAUGGGGUUUAAAUGGGCUGCCUUUUCAUUAAAAUAAUAUUAUAUCAUUAAAAAAAUGCCACGUGUCACUUUCCCAUUGGCCCUUUUUUAAAAUUUCAUCCAUUUGUUUUCAAAUUUUCACCAUACACUUGUCCCAUAUAUUCAUAGCUUAGAUUAAAUUCUCAGACUUAUCCAAAGUCUCGGUGGAGUAAUUUUUGAAAUUUACACUUUUGCCCCCGUAAAAGUGAAAAAUUACAUUUUUGCCCAAAAAACUGAAAAAUUG
rnacentral:lncRNA from 1 species